rnacentral:lncRNA from 1 species
CGUCUGCGGCUGGGAGGGCGUGGCGUGCACCGGCGGCCAGGUGGUGGCACUGAGCCUGCCCUCCUAUGGGCUCGCCGGAGCCCUCUCCCCGGCCAUUGGGAACCUCACUUUCCUGCGGACCCUGAACCUGAGUUCCAACUGGUUCCAGGGGGAGGUCCCAGCAAGCAUCGGCCGCCUAGCGCGUCUGCAGACGCUUGAUCUGAGAUACAAUGCGUUCUCUGGUACGCUUCCUUCCAACCUCAGUUCCUGUGUCAGCUUACUGCUGUUAGAUCUCAGCAGUAACCGGUUCCAUGGGCGUAUCCCUGUUGAGCUUGGAGACAAGCUAACAAGUCUUCAGAAGUUCUCACUGGGCAACAACAGCUUGACGGGUGCCAUACCAGGAUCACUAGGUAACCUGUCAUCCCUGAUCUACCUUGAUCUGACAGAAAACCACCUCGAGGGUCCGAUCCCACAUGAACUUGGCAGCAUGGGCGGCCUGCAGGUCCUUUUCCUCUAUGAGAACAGACUCUCCGGUGUGCUUCCACACUCCCUGUACAAUCUGUCCUCACUGAAAAACUUGGUGGUAGGAAACAACAUGCUGUCUGGAACCAUCCCUGCUGAUAUCGGCGAUAGGUUCGCCGGUAUGGAAGUUCUUGACUUUAGUAGCAACCGAUUCAGUGGAGCUAUCCCACCUUCGCUCGGCAACCUCUCUGCUCUCACGUUACUAAACCUUCCAGGAAAUGAUUUUAUUGGAUAUGUGCCUUCUGCUUUGGGGAAGUUGCAAAGUCUUACUGACCUGUUCUUGAGUGACAACAGGCUAGAAGCAAACGACAGUCAAGGGUGGGAAUUCAUCACUUCACUGGCAAACUGCUCCCAGCUUCAGUAUCUUGUUCUCGGCAACAACUCUUUCAGCGGGCAACUGCCUAAUUCAGUCGCAAACCUGUCAUCAACUCUGCAACAUCUUUAUUUGGGAGACAAUAUGAUUUCUGGGAAUAUUCCAAUAAACAUCGGAAAUUUGGUUGGUCUUACAGUACUUGAUAUGGCAAAUACUUUAGUAUCUGGACAGAUUCCAGAGAGCAUUGGUCAGCUAAGAAACUUGGUUGGGUUAGGCCUUUACAACACUAGCUUGUCAGGCCUCAUACCUUCAUCACUAGGAAAUCUUACACAGUUGAAUAAUCUUUAUUUAUACUAUGGAAACUUAGAGGGGCCAAUUCCAUCAAACUUGGGGAACUUAAAGAAUGUGUUUGCCUUUGAUCUCUCAACAAAUCGACUCAAUGGUUCAAUUCCUAUAGAGGUUUUAAAACUUCCUCGACUUUCCUGGUACUUAGACUUAUCAUAUAAUUCACUAUCCGGGCCACUUCCAACUGAGGUUGGUACCAUGGUGAAUCUUAACGAACUGAUUCUGUCUGGAAACAAGUUCUCAGGCACCAUACCAGCUAGUGUUGGGAACUGUAUAUCGUUGGUAAAGCUGCUGCUCGAUAACAACUUAUUAGAAGGAAGCAUACCUCAAUCUCUGAAGAACUUAAAAGGUCUUGCAUUACUGAACCUAACAAUGAAUAAGCUAUCUGGUAGUAUUCCUGAUGCCCUUGCUAGCAUUGGCGACCUGCAACAACUGUAUCUUGCACACAACAACUUGUCAGGUUCCAUCCCCAAAGUUCUACAGAAUUUGACAUUGUUGGCAAAACUGGAUUUGUCCUUCAAUGAUUUGCAAGGCGAAGUGCCAAAAAGGGGUCCUUUUGCAAAUGCAACUCACUUGUCAAUUGAUGGAAAUGAUGAGCUUUGUGGUGGAAACCCUCAACUUCACUUAGCUCCGUGCUUCACAGCUGCUGCGGGGAAGAACAGAAGGCGAAUGUCAAGGUCAGUUAUGGUCACCGUAGCGUCAAUCUGCGCACUUCUAUUCUUAGGUUUAGUAGUUUUUCUUAUCCAUUUGAUCCACAAGACGCUCAGACAAGGAAAGGAAAAUCAACUCAUUCCCACAGUAAUUGAUGAACAGCACGAAAGGGUUUCAUAUCAAGCAUUAGCAAAUGGGACUGACCAUUUUUCGGAGGUUAAUCUGCUCGGACAAGGAAGCUAUGGUGCAGUUUAUAAGUGCACUUUACAUGACAAGGGAAUUACCGCAGCUGUAAAGGUAUUCAACGUACGGCAAUCUGGGUCUACUAGAAGUUUUGUGGCUGAAUGUGAGGCACUGCGAAGGGUGCGCCACCGAUGUCUCAUAAAGAUCAUCACCUGUUGCUUAAGCAUUGAUCACCAAGGCCAAGAAUUCAAGGCACUGGUUUUUGAGUUCAUGCCCAAUGGUAACCUAAAUGAUUGGCUGCAUCCAGCAUCCAAAAUACAGAGUCUGAGCAAUACACUCAGCUUAGCUCAGAGACUAGACAUUGCGGUAGAUAUCAUGGAUGCUCUGGAUUAUCUUCACAAUCAGUGUCAACCGCCUAUUAUCCAUUGUGAUCUCAAACCAAGUAACAUCCUCCUUGCCGAAGAUAUGAGUGCUCGGGUUGGAGAUUUCGGCAUAUCAAAAAUCCUUCCUGACGACACUAGCAAAACUCUGCUGAAUUCAGUUAGCUUCACUGGACUAAGAGGUUCCAUCGGAUAUGUCGCUCCAGGUAACAGAAACUAACACUGAUAUUGCUAUGUUCAGUUUUUAACUUCCAUUUUGCCAAGUCCAGUUAUCUCGGCAUGCACGUUGAUAAGUAGCUUGCCAUGAAUCCACUGACCAAAUAGUGUCUGAAAUCUGAAUUGACUGCAGAGUACGGCGAGGGUCGCGCUGUCUCAACUCUUGGAGAUGUUUACAGCCUCGGCAUACUGUUGCUUGAGAUGUUCACCGGGAUGAGCCCUACUGACGACAUGUUCAAAGGCUCCUUGGACCUUCAUAAGUUCGCCGAGGCCGCUCUCCCCGACAGAGCCUUGGAGGUAGCCGACCCGGCAAUCUGGUUUCAUGAAGAAGCAAAGGGCGAAGACCCUGCCACGGUGAGAAGCAGAAGCGAGAGGUGCUUGGCUUCAGUGGUCGGGCUUGGCGUGUCCUGCUCAAAGCAGCUGCCAAGGGAGCGGACGGCGAUGCGGGAUGCUGCCGCUGAGAUGCGUGCGAUCAGAGAUGCCUUCCUGGUUCAAUGUGCAACAGAGACUUGGCCUGCAGUCGGCACCACCGGCCUUGGGAGCGCAGACAGUUGAAUGGUGGACGGAGCUACGGUCUCUUGAUGAACCAAGGAGCACCGGACUAGCAACUCUGCAACUAACAGAGUGGAGAAAGCGCCCCUUAAUGAAAAGAAAAACAGCCGGUGCAAGGCUUUAUAAAAAGAAUGUGACAGCCACUGCGUGUAUCCGAGAGACUUAUCUAAUCUACCGAGGAUUGUUGGGUAGGGAUGCGUAUAGAUUAUGCACGUGCUCCCUCCGUCCCAAAAUAAAUGCACAUCUCGCUUUUCGAGGAGUCAAACUUCUAAGUUUGACUAAAAUUUAUAAAAAAAUGUACUACUAUUUAUAAUGUAUAAUAAAUAUCAUUAGAUUGGGCGUUGGAUAUACUUUCCUAAUAUAUUUAUUUGAAGAUGCAAAUGAUGAUACUAUUUUCUUUAUUCUUAGUCAAACUUAAAAAUGUUUGACUCUUCGAGAAGUGAGAUGUGUGUUUAUUUUGGGAUGGAGGGAGUACCCGUCACGGGGAUUAGUCACGAUAUAAGUAGGGACUAGCAAGCACCAAAAUCCCAUUCACUGCCCUUCGAUCGCUCAAAUAAAACAAACCAUUGCAUAUGGUGGCGAUGCGCUUGCGGGCCUUUUUCCAACCUUUCUGCUGUCGUGGGUCUUGAACUCGCAUGGAACAGUUUUAGUGAAAGCGUGCCCUUCAAUUUUGGGAAGAUUGCGAAGCCUCAUUUACCUGUCCUUAGUGACAAUAAGUUAGGAUCCAAUGAUAAGGACGGAUUGGAAUUCAUCACCAUGCUGGCAAACUGCAGCCAGCUUCAGCAACUGGCUUUUGACAAUAAUUCAUUCAUCGGGGAACUUCCUAGCUCAAUUGCAAAUCUAUCGACAACACACCAAUUACUCUGUAUAGGAAACAAUUGGAUUUCGGGAUUUAUUCCAUCCAGCAUAGGUAAUUUGCUUGGUCUAGAACUGCUUGCGUUGGCAAAUACUUUCAUAUCCGGAGUGAUUCCAGAUAGCAUUGGUCGCCUAGAAGACAUGUCCGUGUUAGGCAUUUACUACGCUAGCUUGUCAGGCAUCAUACCUUCGUCACAAGGAAACCUUACACAGUUGAAAACUCUCUAUGCGUACGAUAGCAACUUCGAGGGUCCAAUUCCAGCAAGUGGGGGAACUUAAAGAAUGUUGUUGUUCUUGAUCUCUCAACGAAAGUGUGUAACCCGCUAAGAUUUCGUGUCGAAGCAAAGCAUAAACCUCUCUUAAGACUGCAAAGCUAUCAUAGAGCAGAUCAGUCUAAGACAAUGUAGAACUUAGUCAAAUUUUAUUUAUAAACAUUCAAGUACAAUUUAUGCAAAGUAAAUUUGAAAAUAAAGUAUACGUAAACAUCUAAGCGCAUAGCUUUAUGAUUUGAGUUGAACUAACCAAAUAUAAUUGAAAAACACAUUUAUAUUUAUAUUAAGUCAAAUUAACAUAUAAUUAUGAAAGCUCGAGAUAUAACUUAUGGAGCCUUUAUUUAGAAAACAAAUUGAAUAAACAUUAAUCAAUUUAAGUUUAAUUAUGAACCACCAUGUUGCAUCUCUCAUUGACUUUUAAUUGAAAGAGUUAUUUAAAUAAGCAUUAACUAAUUUAGCAUUUAUUAUGAAAAGCAGUUAUAACACUAAGUAGCUUUUAAUUAAAGAAGACAUGUUUAACAUGCAUUAAUCAGAUUAAUAUUAAAUUUAUUUUAAAAACAUGCAUGAUGGAAAGAUCAGUACUAACAUGUAAUUUGUGUUAUUACAAACCUAACUCAAUAAGAACAGAUAUAAACGGAGCUGUAACGACCAGUCUAUGGGUUAAACAAGGUUGCAGGGCCUAAUCAUGAUUAACGGAAGGUUAUUGGGGCUAGCAAGGAAGAUUUGCAAGACACUGGAAUAGAGCUCCCCAUUAGGUCAAAGCAUAGGGCGAUUGCGAAAUCAAGAACUCGAAGGUGAUCGCGAGAACACGAAGGACACGAAGGUUUUAGAUAGGUUCGGGCCUCCGGAGAGUAAUACCCUACGUCCUGUAUGCUAGUUUGUAUUGCUUGAGAUUGAUCUGAUUGUUGGGAUACCCUCGGGGGUGCCCUUGGCCGCCUUAUAUAGGCUGACGACCAAGAGUUAAAAGUCAGUUUGAAUCUAAUCUACUCGGUAGUUACAUGGAAAGUAAUCUGAGUUGGACUACAGUACACGUUCCAUGAUAUCCAGGCAGAUUUGAACUGUCUUGUUGCCUUGACUUGCACUCCAAGUAACUUCAUGUCCUCGGCCCGCACGCCCUAGUCGGGCGGGCCCUACUUGUCAGUCCGGCCAGUAUCCUGGUCGGUCGGGGCCCAUGGGGUACCCAUAUCCCUCAAGCCCCCGAGCAUUGUGUAGGUGAAGAGUAACUUGAGGUCACCACAGUGAAACUUGAAAUGAAGUCGGCUGAAGCUACGAAGACAUCAUGGCGACGGAGAGGCUGCACAGUGCUCAAAAGAAGAAAUUCUGAGCAAACGCAGAGCCAACGCGUAGAGCGAAGACGAGUGCCGAGUUGAUGGAUGCUGGCAUUCAGCAGUCGGAGCAAAGGUUAUGGAGGGCCUCGCAAAACGCACUCUGUAGGAGUAGCCCCCGAGCAUUAAAGUGAUUAAGAUAAUCGGUACAAUAGUCAAAGAAGAAAAAGUUAUCCCCUAAAGUAGAUCCUAGUGCUCGAACAUAAGGAUGGGUGAAGCCAUGGAGGCCCGCCAACCAGAAGUAGGCACCCAGACCCAAGAAUGAGGACUAGCGGGACCGUGUAGCCACGUUGACCUGAAAUAGGCGCCCAACCCCUGAGGACGAGGACUAGCGGAGCCACGGAGGCAUGCCGACCUGAAGUAGGCACGCAACCCCUGAGGACGAGAACUGGAGGAGCCAUGAAGACACGCCGACUUGAAAUAGACGCCAAGCCCCUGAGGAUGAGGACCAGUGGCGCCACGGAGGCACGCCAGCCAGAAUUAGGCAUCCAACCCCCGAGGAUGAGCAUGAGGACUGGUGGAAGCACGUCGAGGUGCCUCCCGCCUCGAGCCGAGGCAGAGAGGUCAGUCGGGCGACGGGAGGCACAUGAGUCAUCUAUGGCGCGCAACCGCCGAGCCUGGGAGCCGGACGAGUUGCAGAAGCAUGCCAAGUCGCCUCCCGCGGCGAGCUAGAGAGGUUUGCUGGGCGACGGGAGGCACGCCAAGUCAUCUGCAGUGCCCAGCCCUCAAGCCUUAGGGCCGGCUGAGCCAUAGAAGCAUGCCAAGCCGCCUCCCGCCCCGAGCCAGAGAGGUCGGCCGGGUGACGAGAGGCACGUCGAGUCAUCUGCGGCGCCCAGCCCCCGAGCCUAGGAGCCAGACAAGUCAUAGAAGCAUGCCAAGUUGCCUCCCAUCCCGAGCUAGAGAGGUCGGCCGCGUGACGGGAGGCACGCCGAGUAGUUUUUGAGCUAUAAAAGGACAAUACAAUCAUCAUGUAGCAUAGUGUAGAUCGUUUAAUCAUUGAACAACUCGGAAGUUUAAUUCACUAUAUAAGUAAACUCUUGCGCAUCCUGCUCUUGUAGGCUAAGUAAUUUCCCCAGGUAGUUAGCCUGUUACGUUUAAGCACCUAGCCCUACUGACCACUGCUCACAGAGAUGACGGUUUAUCUCAAGCUAUAGCGCUGGGGCUGACCUGAUGCUUGCAUAUAGGAGACGCGCAGGAUGAGUUAAGGUUUUACGGAUUAAGGCAUGUGCUACCCGAGUACUUUAGCAACUGUUAACAGGGACAGACAAGUUGCAAAGCAGCCGGAACUGUGCGGAAAAGCACCAGCAUGAGCUAGGCACCCAUGGGGUGUAACCCCUGGCCGCCCGUGUAGUGGACGGACCAAGUUGUAUAAACAGUUAGGGUGCGACCAAGGUGGUGGGCAAAAGUCACGGAGACAUAGGAGAGCUGAGGCGGUCGACGAAAGUCACAGGAACAUGGAGGAGCCGAGGCUUAUGUAGGUAUACGGAAGCCAUAAAAUAUUUAAUUGUAAAUAAGACUUAGCUUGAUUCGUGAUCGAGUCGAAGAACCCGCAUGUCGUCUUUGCGUUUAGGCUUAGAAGCCCCUGAGCGUGGUCAGCGGAUAGUUGUUGGUGAAGCAAACUAGUAGGGCUCCAUGCCCGACUAAUUCGUGUCAAGUCCGAGUUGUUGGAGUUGUUAGUGGCAAGUCUGUGGCUGCGAUCGUGGUAUGCUGCUGCCAAGUCGAUGCGGCCAUCGGGUCGUGGCUGGCUGGCCGCCACGCUCGCAAUACAGCAUGCCUGGGUUGUGCUGCCAAACCAAAGGUGCAUGUACAUCUUUCCGAACCUCGUAAGGAAGCCCUCAGGUAUUAAGGAAAUCUAUACCUAAUAUUAAAGUGCGGUUGUUUGUUCCAACCAUUAUGGUUGUUUUGCAAAAAAGUCCCUCAACUUUUUCGUAAUCAGCUCGCAGUCCUUGGAAUAUGUCUUGAUGAUUUUGCAAAAAGGUCCCCAAACUUUACUGCAAUUGGCCGUCGAAGCUCCCGCAGCAUGCACCUACGCCACGUGCGGUGCGGACGAGUGUGCUGGCGGUGGCUGCAAGCUCCUCACCACAGCGGGGACCAGGUCGAGCAGCGACAGCGAUGACGGAGGGGAGUAGUCCGCAUCCGCGUGCCGUGCUUCCAUCGUCGGGCAAGCUGUGGCGGCGGUGGAGAGGGAAAGUGAGUACAUCGGCGUGUGGCAGCAGUCGUGGGGCAGUUUGGCGGCGGAGAUCCAUGACCCGCACCUCGCUGUGCGCAAGUGGCUCAGCACCUUGGACACCAUUGAGGACGCCACACACGUCUAUGAUGUCGCCGCCAUCGAGUUCCGAGGCCACCACGCCAAGCUCAACUUCCCCGACGACAUGGUCCCCGUGCCCGCACCUUCUAGGGUGCCCACCUCUACAUACCACUACCACCACCACCUGCCGCAGCCGCUGCCCAAGAGUCUGCACAAGACCUGCGGGUCGAACGCAUCGUCGUCGGUGCACAUGGCUCCUGGAUGACGGCAGCUUCUUGUCACCCAUGCCAUGAUCGUCACAUUCUCCUCUUGUUUUCACUUUCGUUGCUUAGCGGAUAAUGGUGGUCAGCUGCCCUUUGGUCUGUCGUCAAUCACCAGCCAUCCAUCGCUUUCAUAUGGUUUUACACUAGCUUUUGGGCUUUGACCACACCUCCACACCCAUAAAGUGGAGUGAUGUUGAUCUACUGCCGCUCGCCCUGGCGUGCAACUACUGUCGCUCACCCUAGCACAUGGCUACUCACUCGGGCUGCGUGCCCUACCCGCCACCUGGACCUAAGAGGUGAAGGAGAGAGGAGGAAGGGGGAAGGAAAUAAGGAGCCGAGUGCCUCUUUGCAGUCAACCAAGUAGAUCCAUGUGCCAGCGAAGGCAUGGCGCCAGCAAGGGGGGGGGGGCGCAGCAGCAGUCGGCAGGCAACGCAAAUUGGGGCAGAGGUUGGGACCUCACACCCCCCCUCUCAAUGACGUCCAUCCCCUUAAGAUCCGGAACUAAAGCCUCCACAUCUAGCAAUUGGGGGCUCAAUUUUGCACUUGAUUGAAAUGAUUUGGAGUGGAUUAUGGAAGGGAAGUGGAUGGAAAUGAGAAGAGGAGGAGAACGCACUCCUGCUCAUGGCGGCCAGAGGCGUUGUGGCCUAGCGCUCGAAGCAGGAAUGAGGCUAGGCACAGGAAGGACGAGCGCUUGCCUGGGCGAUGGUGAGGAUGGCAAGAUGCGCAGCGCCUGGAUGACGGCGAAGAUGGGGCUAGAUGCGGGUGGCGCUGAUGGAUGAAGAGGCAUCGACUGGCUAGAUGACGAUGAGUACGGGGGAAAUCGAAUGAAUGGAUGGAGCGGAGGUUGAGCGGUGAUUUUUUUUAUUUCCAUAUGUGGGUCCCACAUAAUAAACAUAUGGCAUCAAAUCACCCAUAAAUAUCUUCUACUACUAUACUGAGACAACGCACCAACAUAUGGUGAACCGAAGCCACCGUAUUACGAACAAGCGAAUAAUAACGUGAGAAUAAGUAAGGACCUGUAGCAACGCACGGACAUUUCUGCUAGUGAGAAAAAAAAUUGUUAUCUACCGCAGUAAGCACCGAGCAACAUAGGAGAUCUACUGGAUGGAAUAGAUUAAAUAAUAAAGGGAAGGGAGAAUUGUUUCCUUUUUUUUCCGUGGCAGAUCCGACAUGUCUGCAUGCAACAAGUUGAGGCCGACGUGUCGUGCUAAAUCAAUUGGAUCGGACUGGGGCUGGAUCAGGCGAGCUUGGCUGUGGCCGGGAUGAGGCCAAUAAGGGCGCCGCCCUUGACCUUGGCCUCCUGCGUCUCGUGGAUCUUCUGCAUCUAGAGCAUCCGCUCCAUGACAAGCUUGUACUGGCACUUCUCUUAGGCGUGGUGCUCAGGCUGGCACUUCCAGGGGAGGUAGAACUCGGAGGUGCACGCACUGGUUGUGGUAGGCGAGCGGCACCUGGGCCACCGCCAUCUCCACCUGCGUGAUGAUCUAGGGCUUCAAGGAGCCGAACUGCACACCGACCGUUGCUGCCGCCUCCAUCUGUCACUUUCUUCCCGUCUCUCUCACCGGCGAGGUCGUUCCAUCGAUAGAUGGGCAUUGCGGGUUUGGUGCGGUGUGGGUAGGUGGGGUGCAGCGAGGACAUGAGGAACCCUCUCGGAGAGAGAGAUUGCCAAUCUACUGGGCAAGUGGCAUGAUGAUCCUUGGAUAGAGAACUUGCUCCUCCGGAGUAAAUCCGACAGAUGCCGAGCUGGCGGCAGGCAUCGAGUCGAAGUCCACCGACAUGCUCCCGAAGCAGAGCUGGAUUGGGUUGGCGAGGAAGUCCUUCAUGCUCUCGGAAAAAACAAUGUCGGGACGGGAUGCCAUCGAGCUCGCUAGGGAGGAUCUCACAAUCAUCCCUACCUGGCAUGCCAACUGUUGGAUUUAUAAGCCUGAUAGUCCACCAGGGGGUUACCCAAGUAGUUGAUUUCUAGGUGAGGGCGAUUGUGAAACCAAGAACUCGAAGGUGAUUGCGAGAACACGAAGGGACACGAAGAUUUUAGAUAGGUUCGGGCCUCCGAAGAGUAAUACCCUACGUCCUGUAUGCUGGUUUGUAUUGCUUGAGAUUGAUAUGAUUGUUGGGAUACUCUUGGGGGUGCCCUUGGCCGCUUUAUAUAGGCUGAUGACCAAGAGUUACAAGUCGGUUUGAAUCUAAUCUACUCGGUAAUUAGAUGGAAAGUAAUCUGAGUCGGACUACAAUACGCGUUCCAUGAUAUCCAGGUAGAUUUGAACUGUCUUGUUGCUUUGACGUGCACUCCAAGUAACUUCAUGUCCUUAGCCCGCACGCCUUAGUCGGGUGGGCCCUAGUUGUUAGGUCUGACCAGUAUCCUGAGGUACCCAUAUCUCUCACCUUGGUGCUCCGGCGAUUAGGGUCAACGGCGAGGAUGGGGAUUGGAAGAGGAGAUCAAGGGGACUUUAUGGAGAUGCUCACCGGUGGUGAGGUGGACGGAUUCCAGCCAGAAUUUGGCUGGCGGUGGAAGAACACGACAGGUUGCUCAGGUCUUCGCGAGUGAUGGUACUCCAGCAGUGGAGCGGCGACGAAGACUAGUGGCAGAGCAGCUCCUCGACAUCAUGGAGCUCCCUAAGGCUCUAGCUUGCUCCAAUGGUCGACGGGCAUAGCGAAUUGGCCAGAGAAGGCUGGUAGCGGCUCCUAGCUUCGGUGGAUGUGGGGGAUGGCGGCGCUUGUGGAGGAUGGCGGUGCUUGUGCAAGCUGGGAAGAGUGGCGGCGCGAGGCAGGGUAGCAGCAGGGGCACUGUCUCGACUUUUAUAGGCGCGUGGGUCCGCGCCUACCUUGGCACGCAUGCUGAGGUUCGGCGGUGGCGACGACCAACUGCAGCUACGCUUGGCCUCAACCCGUUGGUGGCCGAUGGGCCUAGCGGACCUAGCCGAGCCAUCAGCUGGGCUGGGUCGGUGAGGGUCGAGCCGCAAAGACUUGGCCCGAUUGAUUAGGAUUUUCCUUUUUUUUAGAAAUGAUUUCUUGUAAAAGAAAAAUCCAGAAAAAUUCUAUAUAAUUAAUUUAAGCAACGAAAAAACCCUAAAAAUCCAAAAAUUCCAGGAAAAAUCCUAGAGAUAGUUUGGGAAUGAGGAGUACAAAUAAAAUACUUGGAGCUCAUGAAAAGGAUUCUAGAACCUUCCAAAAAUUGGAUUUAGCUCUAGAAAAAAGAGAAUAAAUCUUAGAAAAAUCUUGAAAUUCUCAUAAGAACCUAAUGGGCAUCUAAACGCAUUCCAAAACCUUUGCACUUAUGAAAUACCAAGAUGCAUCGGCAUGAAUGCAACACAUACAUAGAACUAUUAUAUUUAAUUCAGAAAAACACUCAAUUAUUUUCCUAUACUAAAUUUCCUGUCAGGAAAAUAAAUGUUGGAAAAAUUUUAAAAUUAUGAGAAAAUCAUUGUUUAAUUAUUAUUUUUAAUCACAUCCUGAAAUUUCAAAAAUUUUAAGGUGUGACAGAUACCCUCAGGUUUACAGAAUUUGACAUCCAUGUGCAAAUUGGAUCUAUCCUUCAAUGAUUCUUUGGAUUUGCACAGUUUUCAGAUAUUUACUGGAAGGAGCCCAACGGAUGAGAUAUUCAAUGAUUCUUUGGAUUUGCACAGUUUUCAGAGAAUGCUCUUCCAGAGAGAAUAUGGGAUAUAGUUGAUCCGACAAUAUGGAUGCACACAGAUGCCUAUAACAGCACUAUGAGAAGUGGAAUUAAGAAUUGCUUGCUUUCUGUUGUUUCUCUUGGAAUAUCAUGCUCAAAGAAACAACCUAGGGAGCAGAUCCCGAUUCAGGAUGCAGCCAUUGAGAUGCACGCUAUUAGAGAUUCGUAUCUCAAGUUUGCCAGAUCUCUUUUGGUGGAGCAUGGAGUAGUAGCAACAACUCACAGUGAUUUCCCACAACAGUGAAUACAUAGGACUGAAAAUGGGCAAGAUGUCCGCAGGUGAUCAGUUUACCUGAAAUAACUGAAGAUGUAUGAAGCUUCAGCUUUAUAAUUCGUCCAUGCAUUUGUUUGCAUCAGAUAUAUGGAAGUAUAAAAUAAGUUUAGAAAAUGUUUCAAAAUAGAUUAGAUCAAGAGGUUUUUACUUGUCGUCUGUAUGGCACAUUUGUUUAGAGAAUUCAGUAAUAUGUAUGAUUCAUAAUACAAUCAAUGCUCUGCAAAUUUCAGAUAGCACAAUUGGAAUAAAAAGCUCAUUCAUUGAUUAUGUUGCUCUAGGUGACUCAACUUAUUGUGAUGUUCACUGUAGAUUUCUCCAUGGUCCAAACGACCUUUGUGAUCAGUUAUGUUUAUGCAUUUUGUAGACUUGUAAAGUCUUUCCCUAACCUGCUGACAUAUCAGCUGGAGCAGAGCACUCUGCCGUUCUGCGCCACUUGCCUCUAGGCAGCGCUUGCCGCUUGGUGGCUGCCGUGGCGACGGGCGGCAUCCGUAAUUGCUCUAUUGGAGGCUGAGGGGCACAAUUACGUCUUGGAGUCGCCACCGCGCGACCUUCGGAGCUCGCCCAUGCCUCAUCGGUACGAGCUCAGUCCCGCGGUGAAUGGCGCGCGCAUCUGGGGUUCCGUCAGCUGCAGGUGCAGAUGGGUGGAGAGCUUAACAGCACUAGGUCUUCAGAAGAUGUUGGGUGGGCUGGAUGGGGCUUUGCGGCUCUGAAUGGCGAGGCGGGCAGGGACGACGGCGGCAGCGGCAGGCGGCGGCACUGGACGCGUUGGGGUGGAGACGACCCGGACCAGGGAGCAUUUUUGAAAAUAGUCGGAUCGCGAUCCUAAUUAGGAAAUGUGAGAAGGGGUGCACCAAAUAUGGGAUGAGAUGGAGAGGAGCGGAUCAGGCCCAGAUCAGCGAUCAUUUACUAUUAGGGCCCGUUUGUUUGGCAGGAAUUGGGCUGAAUUGGAAUUACUUUCCUAGGCCGACCUGUUUGGCUGCACAUGGAAUUGGAAAUCGUCUUUCCGGUGAUUUUCACGGGCUGAUUUUCUUACUUGCGACACAUUCCGGGCCUAAGACAAAGAAAUCAAUUCCAUCCGACUUGCUUCCCCUCCCGACUCGCCUCCCUUCCCCGACACCGCGCCACCUCCCUCUCCCAACUCCCCUCCAUCCCGACGCCGCACCCCCUCCUCCACCGCCUCCUCCGGCGCCCCCUCCUCACCUCCCCCUGACUCGCCUCACCCCGUGCUGCCGCCGCCCUCGACUCUGACUCCCCGAGCGCUGCGCCGCCGCCUCUCGCGCCGCCGCCCCUCGCGACCACCUUCUCGACGGCGAGAUAAACCUCCUCCAGUUUCCCUCCUCCAUCUCGUUCUCCGGCUCACCCCUUCCUUUUUCUUCCUCACCGGCUCACCCCUUCCCCUUGAACAAUCCGCAGAUCUGCGGGGGAGGUGCCACCGGCAAGCAGGCUGGGAGCAGCUGCAACGGCGGCCGCCCCAUCCACGUCUCUACGGACGGCAUCUUCAACAUUCCGACCACGCGCGUGCUCUCCACUAGCAAAGAAGCUGUACGUCCCAAUCCCUUCUGCCCAUCCCCUUUGCUACUCGAGCCAGCAAAGAAACUACUAGUUAGUUGCAUCAGAUUCUCACUGUCAAAUUGGAAGGCCAUUGCUCUUGCUCCUACUAGUAUACCGCACUUUCCACAAAAUGCGACACACGAAUUUGUUAAUUUUGCCGUAAUUCUGCUAUCAAAUCAAAAGGCCAAUCCUCUUGCUCUAAACAGUUUCUGCAAUUUCGUGCACUAUCGAUUGCUAGUGCUAAUUACAUGGAGGGCCUUUGGUACUUCUCUGCUAAUGCUAAUUAUAUGUGACAUGCUCUGAGAUUCUUCAUACUGUGUGCUGCCAUUAGUUUAAAUUUGGUAGAAGCUGAAAUCUCUUCGUAGAUCAUUAUGUGCUGCCAUUCUGAUAUCCUGUGGAGUUGCAUAUCAACUACUAGUGCUAGCAUUUAGUUUUAUCUGUCACAGCAGUUAAGCAUCAGUCAGCCCUUAUCUAGCAUUUAGUUGGUGCAGCUGUGCAAGUGAUGUUCCUAUUGUUUUUAAUUUUUGUCUUCUGCAGCAUUUUGCAGGCUGUCUAUGUUUCUGCUUAGUUUCGUGAAAUAGUGUAGCAUUUUGAUGAUAAAUUAAAACAUUCCUUUUUGCAUAUGUUUAGAUGCCUGACAGCAACAUAGACUUGGUUAAUACAGGCAUAGAGCAAAUGAGAGAGAGCGUAGGAAGAAGAGAAAAAGAGUGGCUAUUUUAUUUAUUUCUGCUGUCAUGAGCAUGAUUGUGCACUAAUGCGUAAGAGACCUAGGCGUAUCGUUGAUCCGGAUGAAGUGGCUGAGAGAAAUGUUGCUAGUCGGAAACAAAUGCCAAGGAAUCUGUACUAAGGAUCAAAUAUUUUUUGCUAUGACAGUUUGCGCCUAAUUAAGAGAUCAUUUUCUGACCUAUGUGCCAUCUUACGUGAUAGGUGCGGUAUGUGUGAUACUGUCGGUAGAAGAAAAUGUGGCUAUCUUUUUGCUUAUAGUGGGCCAUGGCACUAAGAUGAGGAUGAUUCGUAGCUCAUAUAGGUGGUCGCUCGAGCCAAUCUACCAUCAUUUCAAUGAGGUGUUGAGAGGUGUUCUAUCAUUAUGCCAUGAAUUUAUCAAGCUUCUUGAUCCAUCAGCUGUAGAACCUGAGGAUUCCAAGUGGAAGUGGUUUGAAGAUUGCCUUGGAGCAUUAGAUGGUACACAUAUUGACAUUUUGGUGCCUUUGGCUGACCAAGGGAGGUAUAGGAAUAGGAAGCAACAGAUUACCACCAAUAUUUUGAGGGUUUGUGAUCAUCACAUGAAAUUUAUUUACAUCUUAGCAGGAUGGGAAGGAUCGGCUUUAGAUUCACGUGUGCUACGUGAUGCAAUGUCUCGGGACGAUGCAUUUCUUAUUCCAAGUGGGAAAUACUAUCUUGUAGAUGCUGGAUACACCAAUGGACCGGGCUUUCUUGCUCCAUAUCGAUCCACUCGCUACCACUUGAAUGAGUGGGCUGCUCAAGGGCAUAACCCAUCCACUCCCAAAGAACUAUUCAAUUCGCGCCAUUCAACUGCUAGAAAUGUGAUAGAGAGAACAUUUGGGCUAUUAAAGAUGAGGUGGGCUAUACUAAGAAGCAACUCAUAUUUUAACUUACAAAAUCGGGUAUUCCGUAGUUAGUAACCUAGCUUGAAAUUCACCUCUGAAUGACCCUAGCAUGUAACUCAUUUCUACUAAUUUUUUGCAGAUUAGGAUCAUUAAUGCUUGUUGCAUAUUGCACAACUUUGUAAUUGAUAGACAAAGAGAUAUAGAUGACUUACUUAUAUACACCAAGUUGAUCAAGUAAUAUAUGUUGAACCUCAUGAAGUUCAAAGUGAAGUGGGCAUGAUUAGCAAUGUUCAAUCAUCAAAUGAAUGGAGCAAUUUUAGGGAUACCAAAGCUAACCAAAUGUUUGCUGAUUACCAAGCGAGACGUGGUCAAUGUAUGAUAAAUUCUAUCAUCAAUGCAUGCUCAAAUUUAUGAUAUUUGGUGUUGCUCCUUAAUAUUUUACUGAUAACCUUUGUGAACUUUUUUCUUGUAGAAUAUGGAGAAGGGCAAGAAGUCAGUCUCGAGCAGGGGUUACAUUUGUUGGAAUGACGACAUGAAUAAGGCUCUUCUUGACACAUUUGUGGAGUACUAUAACAAGGGUGACACAUGCCAAAAUGGGUGGAAGUCUCAUGUCUAUACAACUUCUAUCAAGAAUAUCCGAGAAAAGUGUAAUGUGGAUAUCACAAAAGACAACAUCAUGGCAAGGAACAAGACCUUUGACAAACACUACACUAUCAUCAAUGGUAUGUUGGAAUCAAGUGGAUUUGGUUGGGAUUGGAACAAAAAUAAAAUAUCUGUUGAUAGUGAUUCUGUAUGGGAAGAAUAUGUGACGGUAAGUUUCAAAAACCACUGAUUUACUUGCUUAACUUGCUUCUCUUUACAAGCAGUUUUCAUUUUGUUAGACACAAUCACAUAUGAGGUUAUCCUUAUUUUACACAUGGUAUGGUAUGAAUCUACUAGGUGGGCUUGGCAUAUAAUUGAAAGAUUUUUUGUACUCUAUCUAAAGUGGCAAUGAUUGUUUCAUCAAAACUUAUUGUUCCUGAAAACUUAUUGGCAUAUAAUUGAAAGUUUCUAUCUAUUGUUGAAAACAGUGUGUAGUGAAUUAUGUUCGUUACCUGUGUUCCUAAACAAUUAUGUAUGCAUCCUUGUCCCUGUAUGUUUUGUUACUUUUUUUAUUGAUAGUGUGGCAUCUUUAGGUUGUUCUUGAAAUGAAAGUAUACUUUCACUGCACAAGAAUUUAUUGGCCAGAAUAGUGGCUUGUAUUGGUCAGAUCCUAGUCAGCAAGUGCACGUCUCCUACAAGGCUGAGAAUCUUGCGUGAGGAAACUAGAGAGACCACUAGCAUGAACAAUGCCUCUCCAUACUCUGCAAUUUUUGAACUUUAGAUGCACCUGUCUCUUUGCUAGAAUUGCAAAUUAAGUAUGAAACAUGAAUCGACAUCAUUUAGUAUUGUUGUGCAGCACCAUACAAUGGUUUUGUGGUUUUGUGGAUUCUAGAAAAGGAUUCUCACAAAUGAUAGUUGCCAGUUAUACCUUUUGUUGCCAGUUCUACAAAAGGAGCCAUGGAUGUGUUUCAAUUUGUAGAUAUUCAUUGUGCAAAAUGCGACUAGAGCUUCUAGUACAUGUAUUUCUAAUAGUAGAAGCCAUGCAGAAGUUCCUGUAUUUGAACUACAGUAUGUAAACUGAUCUAUAUGUGUCUAAACUGGUCUGUAUGUGAACUACAAUGAUUGUACUUCUAUUUGGGUUCAGUACAUACUUGCUCUACACUUGUUUUCUAACCAAGUACAUUUAUUUUCUGUAGAAAAAUAAAGAAGUUACUGGGUACAGGCACAAGACUGUCUUGUACUGGGACUCAAUUAGCUUGGUGUUUGGCAAAGGCCAUGCUACUGGUGAAGCGGCAAAGACUGUGGCUGAGAGCUCAAAAAAUAUGAGUAAGGAAUAUCUUAGUAACAAAGAACCCACAUCAUCGGCAACUUCAGGAAGUUUAAAGAGGCAACGAUCAGGUGACUCUUUUACCUCUAUGAUAGCUGAAAAAAUGGACAAGUUUGCUGAAGCACUCAAGGAGGAAGCCCUAAAGGCCUAACAUCAAAAGAAAUUCUAGACACACUGAAUGAGGUACAAUGAUUGGAUGAAGACACUUUGUUGGACCUAUUUGAUAUCCUGACCGGUGAUGCACGCAAGUAUGAGUCUCUGUUGGCGCUUCCGGAGAAGAUGAGGAAGAGGUGGCUCCUAAAACAGCUCAAGAAGUGAAAAAAUUAGUUCAUAUAUAAAUUAUACUAUCAAGUGAUGGAUAAUGUCUAUUGAACUUCCAUUGCCUUGUAAUAAUAUGUGGCUUCAACUAUAUGAAAGUUUAGAUACUAUGUCUGUAUUGCUUGCAUUGUCAAGAUAAUAUGUUUAUCAUGAUCUCAUACUAUGUCUGUCAUGAAAGUUUAGAUAAUAUGUGGCUUCAACUUGUCAUGAUUGUAAUCUCCUUUGACAUGUUGCAAGUAAUCAGAUAUGUCUGCCAGGAUUGCAUUGUCAAGUAUGAAUGUAUAUCAGCAUUGUAGGGAGAGAAGCUUAUCUGCUUUUUGGAGAUAAACAUUCAAAUUACUGGUGUAUGACGGGAUGAAAUACUCUAGUGUUCACCUGGUUGGAAGGAUGAGAGGGAGAUGAGAGAGAGAGUUUGGAAGAGAGAGAGGUGAGAGUUCGGAUGAGAGAGAAAGCAGCUUAGAAGGAUGAGAGAGAGAAAGCGGUAUUCAGCUGGAUGGUGGAAAUUUUAUAUAUUACUAAUAAUGCAUCCAAACAAUAUUUGGAAUUUAAUUCUAAGAAAAACUUCCUUUGUACAACCAAAUAAGAAAAUUCAAUUGAAUCAAAUUCUACGGAAUCCAUUUCCUAUGGAAUCUAAUUGCUAGAAUAUGAUUCAUGGAAUGAGUUUCAAUUCUAGGGAAACAAACGGGCCAUGGUCUUCAUUCCCAAGGAAAGCUUGAGGCUCUGCAAUAUUACACAACAAUGAAGUCAAGAGGGUUGAUCCCUGAACCAAGGACCAAGAUACUGGUGAAAGCUAUACAUAUGAAGAAAGAUGGGGCUGUCAUAGAAGAUCAGUCUGCAAAUAUGACAGGGAAGAAUCUAAAACUGGAUCCACGAUCUAGACUAUUCCAUGUUCAUAAAUAGUUUGCUGUCAGAUCUUACUUCUAUGUGUCAAAAGAAUCUCUUCGACCAGUGUCCAGAUCACAAUGGUCACACCUUGGGCUACAAUAAAUCAUCAGCAAAGUGUAUUGGCAUUAUGUAUCCCAGAAAGUUUUGCUCAGACUUUCAAUGCCAGGGUAUGUUUUUUAUGUCUGAUAUGGAUCAAUUGCAGGUACUGUAUUACACGCUCGUAUUAUGAAGGUUAUGUGAAAUAUGACAGAUGUUUGUUUAUUCAUCUGUUAUGCAUGGCUGUGUCUACUGUCUAGUUGUUGGCUUGUUGCCAACAUAUGCAGCAGCAGGUAGCUUCAGCCGCUCAGAAGCCCAAAUGAAGGAUGGCCCAGGCAGAAUAGCUAUGUCCAGACCCAGAAAGCUUAGGACAUGUCUUGCCAGCCUGCAGUUUUGUACUCGUAGCACCAACCAUCUCCGGGUUCUGGCCGGUUAUAUACAUGGUCUGGAAUGGGCAUCCGCUGAUCGAUUGAAACCUUGAGUUGCUUCCGUGUGUCUUUUGCCAUCUAUAUAUUAUGGUUAGUCAACGGCAUGCAGUACACCCAUGCAUAUGAUUGCAGUAGGAUGACAUGGCGUGACCAGAACCCUUCUUUUGCCAGUUUUAGAUUCUUAUACACGGCCAACUGACGCAGCAGGGAGUUGCAUGCUAAGCAGUUCAGCGUAGGUGGUGAGUUCUCAACUCUGAUAUGGCUUAUGGAAGAACACUGUCACGGUGUCACCUAGCCGGUUGGAGGCCAACCUCUUACUAGGGACAGCAAUGGCCCUGUCCGGCCACUGUUUCGUGGCUGGUAUUAUUACCCCUAUGCAGUGAAUAUGACAUGUGGAUCUAUGUGUAUAUUAUGUCGUCAAAAGAACAUUAUAUGAACCGUUGAUCCACCUUUGAUUCUAUUAAUGUGUCAUGGUCAAUUGAUGUCAAACUCUAUUAUCUUCAAGUCUUACUGUAUUGAUAAAAUCACGAUGCUGCUACUGCCAUUUUGAUGUUUAUAAAAGGGUAUUGAGAACCUGGUGGGUAUCCAUUCGAUGCGCAGGGUUGGGGGUGGGGAAAAAUGAGUGUAAAGGACAGGGAUGCAGUAUUUAGAAAGAUGAGGCUGGCACAGAAAAUAGUCUCCAAGUAUGGCAGGGAAGAAUCUAAAACUGAAUCCUUGAUCAAGACUGUCCCAUAUUCAUAAAUAGUUCACUGACAGAUCUUGCUUCCAUAUUCUGAACAGCUGAUGCUGGGCACAUAGGAGGUUAACCGGUCAGCGGAUCAAAGAAAAUCCACAAUGGCCUCAUCUUGGGUUAGAGACAAUCAUCGGUAAAGAAUCAUAUUGCCGGAUAAGGAUAUCUGUGAUUGGUGGGUGCAGAUCCAUGCUCAUUCAAGAAACACAUGAUUCUUUACGGAUGAUCAUCUCUCAGCACACCCUGCUGAUAAGGUUAUCUGAGAUUGGUGGGUGCAGAUCCUAGAAACAAGCUAGGGCUGAAUGCGCCGCUGUACUUGGAUGUUGUGGUGACACCGUAAUGAUUGUGUGUUUAAUGGAGUUUUCCAUAGUGACUAGCGUGCAGGCCGUCCUCGUAUUUGAGAAAAAAAUCAAUGGGCGAAAUAUUUUCACCCAGGUAAUUGUUGCAUUGUAUGAAUAGGCUUAGAUACCUGGUUAAAGUAUGGUGCGUGUACUGUGACACAAGAAGAUUUAUCAUAUCUAUCUAUGAAUUAGUGUUAAAACUCCUACAUAAAUAUCUUCUCUUAUCUCACUUUAUGUAUAUAUAUGACACAGAAGCACAUGUAUAUCGGCAUUGUAGAGAUAGAGAUGAGAGAGAAGCUUAUCUGCUUUUUGGAGAUAAAUAUUCAAAUUACUAGUGUAUGAGAGGGAUAGAAUUAUUCUAUCAUAUUGUUUAUUCAACAUCUAAAAAGAUUCCAUGUUUAGUCAUCUAUAUCGGCGUUGUAGAGAGAGAGACUAGUGUUCAUCUGGUUGGAAGGAUGAGAGAGAGAGGAGAGAGUUUGGAUGAGAUAGAGAGAUAGUGUUCAGCUGGUUGGAAGGAUGAGAGAGAGAGAGAGGAGAGUUUGGAUGAUAGAGAGAUUAGUGUUCACUUGGUUGGAAGGAUGAGAGGGAGAUGAGAGAGUUCGGAUGAGGAGGUAGAGAGUUCGGAAGAGAGAGAGAGGUGAGAGUUCGGAUGAGAGGUGUGAGAGAGGUGAGAGUUCGGAUGAGAGAUAAAAUAGCUUAUAAGGAUGAGAGAGAGAGAAAGCGGUAUUCAGCUGGAUGGUGGAGACUUCAUAUAUUACUAAUAAUGCAUCCAAACAACAUUUGAAAUUUAAUUCUAAGAAAAACUUUCUCGGUAAAUCAAAACAAGAAAAUUCAAUUGAAUCAAAUUCUACGGAAUCCAUUUCCUACGAAAUCUAAUUGCUAGAAUAUGAUUCAUGGAAUGAGUUCCAAUUCUAGAGAUCCAAACGGGCCCUAAGAGAAUUGUAGUGAUCAACUCCCAAGUUGCAAUAUAUUCUAGGAAAUAGGUGGUUAUGAGGAUGAUACCUGCAGACAAUACUUUUUAUCCCUCAAUUCUUACAGAGAAUUGCACUAUCAACUGCAUUUUCAUUUGUGCCACGCUGCUCAGCUAUAAAAAACGGGGCAAAUCGACCAAAAUAAAUGAAUAAACCACAUGGUUUAGACUGGUGGCAUAUGUAUGUCUGAUGAGUUUAGAAUCCCAACAGACCUCUGUUUGCUUAUCCAACAGGAGGGAAAAAGUUUACUUACUAAAUCAGCUUUGCAUGUCAGGCUGCAAUUGUUAGAGAGUAGAAUUGGGUAAUUUGUGAACAUAAUUGAAUCAAAGUUUUGUCUCAGACUAGUAAUAGAAAAUGGUGAUGCUCCAUAGCUAGAACAACACGUUCCUACACUAGUUUAAAAAAUCCCCUGAAAUUGGGAACAAUGGUAAAGCCCAAACCAUACUUGGAACUUGGAAGGCCGCUGGCGGAUGUCAAAGUCAAAAACAGAAGCAGACAACGACGUCUCACCAGAUCACGAAUCAGAUGCGAUGCAUAUACAUGUUGCAGGCAUUAGCACGCAUCCCUUAGGAUUAAACAAUUCAGCAAGUAGCUCCCCUGCUGACCAAGAAAAGCAAGCUCUGUCUCGCAGCAAGCUCUUCAAUACGCUCCAGCCCAGCUCUACCAUGGCAUUUGCAAUGCGCGUCAUGAGCUUGCUUCCUGCCACCAUCGCCGUGAUGAUCGCAGCGGCCUCCUGGGGAGCGCACGGCGGUGCCAGCGACGAGGCCAGCGCGCUGCUUGCUUUCAAGGCUGAGCUCGCCGGCAGCGGCUCCGGCAUGCUUGCAUCCUGGAAUGGCACCGCUGGCGUCUGCAGCUGGGAGGGCGUGGCGUGCACCAGCGGCCAGGUGGUGGCACUGAGCCUGCCCUCUUAUGGGUUCGCCGGAGCCCUCUCCCCGGCCAUUGGGAACCUCACUUUCCUGCGGACCCUGAACCUGAGUUCCAACUGGUUCCAGGGGGAGGUCCCAGCAAGCAUCGGCCGCCUAGCGCGUCUGCAGACGCUUGAUCUGAGCUACAAUGCGUUCUCUGGUACGCUUCCUUCCAACCUCAGUUCCUGUGUCAGCUUACUGCUGUUAGAUCUCAGCAGUAACCGGUUCCAUGGGCGUAUCCCUGUUGAGCUUGGAGACAAGCUAACAAGUCUUCAGAAGUUCUCACUGGGCAACAACAGCUUGACGGGUGCCAUGCCAGGAUUACUAGGUAACCUGUCAUCCCUGAACUACCUUGAUCUGAGAAAAAACCACCUCGAGGGUCCGAUCCCACAUGAACUCGGCAGCAUGGGCGGCCUGCAGGUCCUUUUACUCCAUGACAACAGACUCUCCGGUGUGCUUCCACACUCCCUGUACAAUCUGUCCUCACUGAAAAAGUUGGGGGUAGGAGACAACAUGCUGUCUGGAACCAUCCCUGCUGAUAUCGGCGAUAGGUUCCCCGGUAUGGAAGCUCUUGACUUUUCUAGCAACCGAUUCAGUGGAGCUAUCCCACCUUCGCUCGGCAACCUCUCUGCUCUCACAAAACUAAUCCUUCAAGAAAAUGGUUUUAUUGGAUAUGUGCCUUCUGCUUUGGGAAAGUUGCAAAGUCUUACUGCCCUUUUCUUGGGUGUUAACAGGCUAGGAGCAAACGACAGUCAAGGGUGGGAAUUCAUCACUUCACUGGCAAACUGCUCCCAGCUUCAGGUUCUUGUUCUCGGCAACAACUCUUUCAGCGGGCAACUGCCUAAUUCAGUCACAAACCUGUCAUCAACUCUGCAAGGUCUUUAUUUGGGAGACAAUAUGAUUUCUGGGAAUAUUCCAAUAAACAUCGGAAAUUUGGUUGGUCUUACAGUAUUUGUGAUGGGAAAUACUUCUGUAUCUGGACAGAUUCCAGAGAGCAUUGGUCAGCUAAGAAACUUGGGUGUGUUAGGCCUUUACAACACUAGCUUGUCAGGCCUCAUACCUUCGUCACUAGGAAAUCUUACACAGUUGAAUAGGCUUUAUGCAUACUAUGGAAACUUAGAGGGGCCAAUUCCAUCAAACUUGGGGAACUUAAAGAAUGUGUUUGUCUUUGAUCUCUCAACAAAUCGACUCAAUGGUUCAAUUCCUAUAGAGGUUUUAAAACUUCCUCAACUUUCAUGGUACUUAGACUUAUCAUAUAAUUCAUUAUCCGGGCCACUUCCAAUUGAGGUUGGUACCAUGGUGAAUCUUAACGAACUGAUUCUGUCUGGAAACAAGUUGUCAGGCACCAUACCAGCUAGUGUUGGGAACUGUAUAUCGUUGGUACGGCUGCUGCUCGAUAACAACUUAUUAGAAGGAAGCAUACCUCAAUCUCUGAAGAACAUAAAAGGUCUUGCAUUACUGAACCUAACAAUGAAUAAGCUAUCUGGUAGUAUUCCUGAUGCCCUUGCUAGCAUUGGCCACCUGCAACAACUGUAUCUUGCACACAACAACUUGUCAGGUUCCAUCCCCAAAGUUCUACAGAAUUUGACAUUGUUGGCAAAACUGGAUUUGUCCUUCAAUGAUCUGCAAGGCGAAGUGCCAAAAGGGGGUCCUUUUGCAAAUGCAACUCACUUGUCAAUUGAUGGAAAUGAUGAGCUUUGUGGCGGAAACCCUCAACUUCAUUUAGCUCCGUGCUCCACAGCAGCUGCGGGGAAGAACAGAAGGCGAAUGUCAAGAUCACUUAUGGUCACCGUAGCGUCAAUCUGCGCACUUCUAUUCUUAGGUUUAGUAGUUUGUCUUAUCCAUUUGAUCCACAAGAGGCUCAGACAAGGAAAGGAAAAUCAACUCAUUCCCACAGCAAUUGAUGAACAGCACGAAAGGGUUUCAUAUCAAGCAUUAGCAAAUGGGACUGACCAUUUUUCGCAGGUUAAUCUGCUCGGACAAGGAAGCUAUGGUGCAGUUUAUAAGUGCACUUUACAAGACAAGGGAAUUACCGCAGCUGUAAAGGUAUUCAACGUGUGGCAAUCUGGGUCUACUAGAAGUUUUGUGGCUGAAUGUGAGGCACUGCGAAGGGUGCGCCACCGAUGUCUCAUAAAGAUCAUCACCUGUUGCUUAAGCAUUGAUCACCAAGGCCAAGAAUUCAAGGCACUGGUUUUUGAGUUCAUGCCCAAUGGUAACCUAAAUGGUUGGCUGCAUCCAGCAUCCAAAAUACAGAGUCUGAGCAAUACGCUCAGCUUAGCUCAGAGACUGGACAUUGCGGUAGAUAUCAUGGAUGCUUUGGAUUAUCUUCACAAUCAGUGUCAACCGCCUAUUAUCCAUUGUGAUCUCAAACCAAGUAACAUCCUCCUUGCCGAAAGUAUGAGUGCUCGGGUUGGAGAUUUCGGCAUAUCAAAAAUCCUUCCUGAUGACACUAGCAAAACUAUGCUGAAUUCGGUUAGCUUCACUGGACUAAGAGGUUCCAUUGGAUACGUCGCUCCAGGUAACAGAAACUAACACUGAUAUUGCUAUGUUCAGUUUUUAACUUCCAUUUUGCCAAGUCCAGUUAUCUCGGCAUGAAUCGUUCGUAAGUAGCUUGCCAUGAAUCCACUGACCAAAUAGUUUCUGAAAUCUGAAUUGACUGCAGAGUACGGCGAGGGUCGCGCCGUCUCAACUCUUGGAGAUGUUUACAGCCUCGGCAUACUGUUGCUUGAGAUGUUCACCGGGAUGAGCCCUACUGACGACAUGUUCAAAGGCUCCUUGGACCUUCAUAAGUUCGCCGAGGCCGCUCUCCCCGACAGAGCCUUGAAGGUAGCCGACCCGGCAAUCUGGCUUCAUGAAGAAGCAAAGGGGGAAGACCCGGCCACGGUGAGAAGCAGAAGCGAGAGGUGCUUGGCUUCAGUGGUCGGGCUUGGCGUGUCCUGCUCAAAGCAGCUGCCAAGGGAGCGGACGGCGAUGCGGGAUGCUGCCGCUGAGAUGCGUGCGAUCAGAGAUGCCUUCCUGGUUCAAUGUGCAACAGAGACUUGGCCUGCAGUCGGCACCAGCGGCCUUGGAAGCACAGACACUUGAAUGGUGGACGGAGCUACGGUCUCUUGACGCACCAAGGAGCCACCGGACUAGCUGCUCUGCAACUAACAGGGUGGAGAAAGCGCCCCUUAAUGAAAAGAAAAACAGCCGGUGCAAGGCUUUAUACAAAGAAUGUGACAGCCACUGCGUGUAUCCGAGAGCCUUAUCUAAUCUACCGAGGAUUGUUAUGUAUGGAUGCGUAUAGAUUAUGCACGGACUCCUCCGUCCCAAAAUAAACGCACAUCUUGCUUCUUGAGGAGUCAAACUUCUAAGUUUGACUAAAAUUUAUAAAAAAAAUGUACUACUAUUUAUAAUGUAUAAUAAAUAUCAUUAGAUUGAGCAUUGGGUAUACUUUCUUAAUACAUUUAUUUGAAGAUGUAAAUGUUGAUACUAUUUUUUAUAUUCUUAGUCAAAUUUAAAAAUAUUUGACUCAUCGAGAAGCGAGAUGUGUGUUUAUUUUGGGACGAAAGGAGUACCCGUCACCGGGAUUAGUCAUGAUAUAAGAUUAGUCACGAUAUAAGUAGGGAUUAGCAAGCACCAAAACCCCAUUCACUGCCCAUCGAUCGCUCAAAUAAAAGAAACCAUUGCAUAUGGUGGCGAUGCGCUCGCGGGCCUUUCUCCAACCUUUCUGCUCUCGCGGGUCUUGAACUUGCAUGGAACAGUUUUAGUAAAGCUGCCUCCAACUUUAGGGAGAUUGCCAAGGUUCAUUUACCUGUCCUUAAGUGGCAAUAAGUUAGGAUCGAAUGAUAAGGACGGAUUGGAAUUCAUCACCAUGCUGGCAAACUUCAGCCAGCUUCAUCAACUGGCUUUUGACAAUAAUUCAUUCAUCGGCGAACUUCCUAGCUCAAUUGCAAAUCUAUCGACAACACACCAAUUACUCUAUAUACGAUACAAUUGGAUUUCGGGAUUUAUUCCAUCCAGCAUAGGUAAUUUGCUUGGUCUAGAACUGCUUACGUUGGCAAAUACUUUCAUAUCCGGAAUGAUUGUAGAUAGCAUUGGUCGCCUAGAAGACAUGUCCGUGUUAGGCAUUUACUACGCUAGCUUGUCAGGUAUCAUACCUUCAUCACAAGGAAAGCUUACACAGUUGAAAACUCUCUAUGCGUACGAUAGCAACUUGGAGGGUUCAUUUCCAGCAAGCUGGGGGAACUUAAAGAAUCUUUUUGUUCUUAAUCUCUCAACGAAAGUGCGUAACCCGCUAAAGUUUCAUGUCAAAGCAGAGCAUAAAUCUCUCUCAAAACUGCAAAACUAUCAUAAAGCAGAUCAGUCUGAGGGCUAGCCUAUGCCCUAUCAACGCCUCCCUUCUUGCCCUUUUGGUAAGAUUACCCCAAACUAGAGUCUAUAAUUAAUUAGCUAAGACUAGAGCCACGUAGUUCUUGUGGUUGUACUGUUUUCCUGAGUGGUCGCUCCAUGUUCCAAUUAAGCAUGAUGAUCUUGUAUUAAUAAAAGGUAUAUCAUAAAUAAAACAAGUUUAAUCAUUGAGUUCAUUAAAACCAUCACAAUCCAAGGUAUUGCAACUAAGCAUAUCUACCUUAAAAAAAGGUAAAACCCAGGUUGACAAGGAAUGAUCAUAAAAACUAGGUAAACCUUAAUAGGACCUAUCAAUAUUAAAUGUAGAGCAAUGCAAAAGUGAUUAAAUAUAGUUUUUGGGAUAAAAGUAUAAGGACACACGUGCCUUUCUCCAAAGAAUAGCUGCUCAGAUUAUCUUCCGCUCUUGUUCCUCAAAGCUCUCGAACAAUGUUCCUUCUACUUGCAUCAAUCAUCGGCACAAGCAUACCAAGCAAACAACAAUCACAACUAAGAACAAUACAUCAAUCAUUGGAAAGCUUUAAAAGAGCGUACUAAAGGAUAAGGCUUGAAUCUAAGGUCACGCGAAUGCAAGAAACGCUGGGAACAAAACUAUGGUUGAAAAGACAAAGUUAUCGAGAGAUUUGAAUUAUAAAAGAAAGAGAAAAGCAUAUGUGCUUCAUAUAUUUUAAUAAAACAAUGUAAAGAUAUUUUAGAGAAACAUCCUUAGCAUGUUAUAGUUAUGUAUGAAAAGACAAUGUAGAACUUAGUCAAAUUUUAUUAUAAACAUUCAAGUACAAUUUAUGCAAAUUAAAAAUUUAAUUUGAAAAUAAAGUAUAUGUAAACAUCUAAGCGCAUAGCUUUAUGAUUUAGGUUGAACUAACCAAAUAUAAUUAAAAACACAUUUAUAUUUAUAUUAAAUCAAAUUAACAUAUAAUUAUGAAAACUCGAGAUAUAAAUUAUGUAGCUUUUAUUUAGAAAACAAAUUGAAUAAACAUUUUAAUUAAAGAAGACAUGUUUAACAUGCAUUAAUUAGAUUAAUAUUAAAUUUAUUUUAAAAACAUGCAUGAUGGAAAGAUCGGCACUAACGUGUAAUUUGUGAUUCAGGUUGAACUAACCAAAUAUAAUUCAAAAACACAUUUAUAUUUAUAUUAGUCAAAUUAACAUAUAAUUAUGAAAACCCAAGAUGUAACUUAUGUAGCUUUUAUUUAGAAAACAAAUUGAAUAAACAUUAAUCAAUUUAAGUUUAAUUAUGAACCACCGUGGUGCAUCUCUAAUUCGCUUUUAAUUGAAAGAGUUAUUUAAAUAAGCAUUAAUAACUAAAUUAACAUUUAUUAUGAAAAGCGGUUAUAACACUAAGUAGCUUUUAAUUAAGGAAGACAUGUUUAACAUGCAUUAAUUAGAUUAAUAUUAAAUUUAUUUUAAAACAUGCAUGAUGGAAAGAUCACUACUAACAUGUCCUAAGAAUGGAUAUAAACGGAGCUGUAAUGAGGAGUCCAUGGGUUAAACAAGGUUGCAGGGCCUAAUCGCGAUUAACGGAAGGUUAUUGGGGCUAGCAAGGAAGAUUUGCAAGACACUGGAAUAGAGCUCACCAUUAGGUCAAAGCAUAGGGUUAGAUAUGUUAAAGUGCUCAGGUUAGACUUGGUUGCACGGAUCCAAUCUAAUCAGGGACAUGGAUGAAAAAAAACAAGACACAAGGAAAAACUAACUAUUUGUAGAGCUUUAUAGGGGCCUAUGCGCAAAAGCACCACAGCUCAGCAUCCAUGGUGGACGGGCUCCUGGAUGGCAAAACCCUCGUGUCAGAUUUAUAAGCCUGGUAGUCCACCAAGGGAUUCCCCAAGUGGUUGAUUUGUAGAUGAGGGUGAUUGUGAAACCAAGAACUCGAAGGUGGUCGCGAGAACACGAAGGGACACUUAGACAAGUUCGGACCUUCGGAGAGUAAUACCCUACGUCCUAUAUGCUGGUUUGUAUUGCUUGAGAUUGAUCUAAUUGUUGCGAUACCCUCGGGGGUGCCCUUGGCCGCCUUAUAUAGGCUGACGAUCAAGAGUUAAAAGUCGGUUUGAAUCUAAUCUACUCGGUAGUUACAUGGAAAGUAAUCUGAGUUGGACUACAAUAUGUGUUCCAUGAUAUCUGGGCAGAUUUGAACUAUCUUAUUGCCUUGACUUGCACUCCAAGUAACUUUAUGUCCUCGGCCCGCACGCUCUGAUCGGGCAGGCCCUACUUGUUAGUCCGACCAGUAUCCUGGCCGGUCAGGGCCCAUGGGGUACCCAUAUCCCUUAAGGCCCCAAGCAUUGUGUAGGCAAACAGGAACUUGAUGUCAUCAAAGUGAAACUUGGAAUGAAAUCGGGUGAAGCUGACGAAGAGCCAACGCGUAGAGCGAGGAUGAGUGCCGAGUUGAUGGAUGCUGGCAUCCAGCAGGUCGAAGCGAAGGUUACGGAGGGCGUCGCAAGACGCACUCUGUAGGAGUAGCCCCGGAGCAUUGAAACAAUUAAGAUAAUCAAUACAAUGGUCAAAGAGGAAAAAAUUGUCCCCUGAAGUAGAUCCUUGUGCCCGAACACAAGGAUGGACGCAGCCACGGAGGCCCGCCAACCAGAAGUAGGCACCUAGACUCAAGGACGAGGACUGGUGGGACUGUGGAGCCAUGCCGACCUGAAAUAGGCAUCUAACCCCUGAGGACGAGGACUAGCAGAGCCGCAGAGGCAUGCUAACCUGAAAUAGGUGCCUAGCCCCCGAGGAUGAGGACUGGCGGAGCCAUGAAGGCACGCCGACUUGAAAUAGGUGCCAAGCCCCCAAGGACGAGGACCAGCAGAGCCACGAAGGCACUCUGACCAGAAUUAGGCGUCCAGCCCCCGGGCAUGAGUGCGAGGAUUGGCGGAAGCACAUCGAGUUGCCUCCCUUCCCGGGCUCAGGCAGAGAGGUUGGUCGGGUGACGAGAGGCACACCAAGUCAUCAAUGGUGCCCAGCCGCCGAGCCUAGGAGCCGGACGAGUUGCAAAAGCAUGGCAAGUCACCUCCCGCCCCGAGCCAGAGAGGUCGGCUGGGCGACGGGAGGCACGCCGAGUCAUCUACGGUGCCCAGCCCCCGAGCCUUGGAGCCGGCUGAGCCACAGAAGCACGCCAAGCCGCCUCCCGCCCUGAGCUAGAGAGGUCGUUUGGGUGACAAGAUGCACGCCGAGUCGUCUGCGGCGCCUAGCCCUCGAGCUUGGGAGCCAGACGAGCCACAGAAGCAUGCCAAGUCGCCUCCUGUCCCGUGCUAGAGAGGUCAGCCGGGUGAUGGGAGGCACGUCGAGUAGUUUUUGAGCUAUAAAAGAACAAUACAAUCAUUAUGUAGCAUAAUGUAGAUCAUUUAAUCAUUGAACAACUCGGAAGUUUAAUUCGCUGUAGAAGUAAACUCUUGCGCAUCCUGCUCUUAUAGGCCAAGUAAUUUCCCUAGGUAGUUAUCUUGUUACGUUUAAGCACCUAGCCCUACUGACCACUGUUCACGGAGAGGAUGGUUUAUCUUAGGCUAUAGUGCUGGGGCUGACCCGAUGCUCGCAUAUAGGAACGCGCAGGAUGAGUCAAGGUUUCACGGAUUAAGGCGUGUGCUACCCGAGUACUUUAGCAACCGUUAACAGGGAUGGACAAGUCGCAAAGCAACCGGAACUGUGCGGAAAAGCACCAGCAUGAGUUGGGCACCCAUGGGGUGUAGCCCCCGGCCGCCCGUGUAGUGGACGGAACAAAAGUCACGACAACAUGGAGGAGCCGAGGCUUAUGUAGGUAUAUGGAAGCUGUAAAAUAUUUUAUUGUAAAUAAUACUUAGCUUGAUUCGUGGUCGAGUCAAAGAACCCGCGUGUCAUCUUCGCGUUUAGUCUUAGAAGCCCCUGAGCGUGGUCGGCGGACAGUUGUUGGUGAAGCAAACUAGUCGGGCUCCAUGCCCAACUAAUUCGUGUCGAGUUCGAGUUGUUGGAGUUGUCAGCGGCAGGUUUGUGGUUGCGAUUGUGGUAUGCUGUUGCCAAGUCGAUGUGGCCAUCGGGUCGUGUCCGGCUGGCCGCUACGCUCACAGUACAGCAUGUCUGGGUUGUGCUGCCAAACCAAGGGUGCAUGUACAUCUUUUCGAACCUUGCAAGGAAGCCCUCACGUAUUAAGGAAAUCUAUACCUAAUAUUAAAGCUCCCGCAGCGUGCGCCUAUGCCACGUGUGGUGUGGACGGGUGUGCCGGCUGCGGCUGCGAGCUCCUCACUGCGGCAGGGACCAGGUCGAGCAGCGACAGUGAUGACGAAGGGGAGUAGUCCGCGUCUGCGUGCCAUGCCACCAUCGCCGGGCAAGGUGUGGCAGCGGCGGAGGGGGAGAGUGAGUACAUCGGCGUGCAGCGGCGGCCGUGGGGUAGGUGGGCGGCGGAGAUCCGCGACCCGCACUACGCCGUGCGCAAGUGGCUCGGCACCUUUGACACAGCUAAGGAUGCCACGCGCACCUACAACAUCACCGAUGUCGAGUUUUGAGGCCACUGCACCAAGAUCAACUUCCCCGACAACACGGCCCCCGCGCCCGCACCUUCCUGGGUGCCAAACUCGACAUACCACCACCACGACCACUUGCCGCUGCCGCUGCCCGAGAGCCUACACGAGACCUGCGGGGCGAACGCAUCCUCGUCGAUGGAUGUGGCUCUUGCGGUAGCGGCGUCGGCCGAGCAGCACGGCACGAGGCCGGUGCCGAAGGAGCAGGACAUCUGGGACAGGCUGAACGAGUUCAUGAUGAUGGAUGACGGUAGCUUUUGGUCACCCAUGCUAUGAUCAUCACAUUCUCCUCCAUUCUCCUCUUGUUUUCACUUUCGUUGCUUAGCGGAUAAUGGUGGUCAGCUGGCCUCUGGUCUGUCGUCAAUCGCCAGCCAUCCAUCGCUUUUAUAUGGUUUUGCACUAGCUUUUGGGCUUUGACCACACCCUCCACACCCAUACGAAAUGACUAGGUAGAGUGAUGUUGAUAUACUGCUUGCCGCGCGCUAGGGCGAGCAGCUACUCACUCGGGCUAGAUGCCCUACCCGCCACCUGGACCUAAGAGGUGAAGGAGAGAGGAGGGAGGGGGAAGGAAACAAGGAGCCGAGUGCCUCUUUGCAGUCAACCAAGUAGAGCCAUAUGCCAGCGAAGGCAUGGCGCCAGCGAGGGGGGGGGGCGCAGCGGCAGUCGGUAGGCAACACAAACAGGGGGCGGAGGUCGGGACCUCACAUCCCCCUCUCAAUGAUGUCCAUCCCCUUCAUAUCCAGAACUAAAGCCUCCACAUCUAGCAAUUGGGGGCUCGAUUUUGCACUUGAUUGGAACGAUUUGGAGUGGAUUAUAGAAGGGAAGUGGAUGGAAACGAGAAGAAGAGGAAAACACACUCCUGCUCAUGGCGGCCAGAGGCGCGGUGGCCUAGGUCUCGAAGCAGGAAUGAGGCUAGGCACGGGAAGGACGAGCGUUUGCCUAGGCGACGGUGAGGAUGGCAAGAUGCGUAGCGCCUGGAUGAUGGCGAAGAUAGGGCAUGAUGCGGGUGGCGCCGACGGACGAAGUGGCAUCGACUAGCUAGAUGACGAUGAGUACGGGGGAAAUCGAAUGAAUGGAUAGAGCGGAGGUUGAGCGGUGAUUUUUUUUUAUUUCCAUGUGUGGGUCCCAUGUAAUAAACAGAUGGCAUCAAACCACCCACAAAUAUCUUCUACUACUGUACUGGGAUAACGCAUCAACAUAUGGUGAAGCGAAAUCAACAUAUUAGGAACAAGCAAAUAAUAAUGUGAGAGUAAGUAAGGACUUGUAGCAACGUACAUGUAUUUCUGCUAGUAAGAAAAAAAAUUGUUAGCUGCCGUAGUAAGCACCAAGCAACGUAGGAGAUCUACUGGAUGGAAUAGAUUAAAUAAUAAAGGGAAGGGAGAAUUGUUCCUUUUUUUUGGCAGAUCCGACGUGUCUGCAUGCAACAAGUUGAGGUCGACGUGUUGUGCUAAAUCAACCGGAUCAGACUGGGGCCGGAUCAGGCGAGCUUGGCUGUGGCCGGGAUGAGGCCAAUAAGGGCGUCGCCCUUGACCUUGGCCUCCUGUGCCUCGCGGAUCUUCUACAUCUGGAGCAUCUGCUCCAUGAUGAGCUCGUAGUGGCACUUCUUGUAGGCGUGGCGCUCGGGCUCGCACUUCCAGCGGAGGUAGAACUCGGAGGUGCACGCACUGGUCGUGGUAGGCGAGCGGCACCAAGGCCUCCGCCAUCUCCACCUGCGUGAUGAUCUGGGGCUUCGUGGAGUCGAACUGAAUGCCGGCCAUUGCCGCCGCCUCCAUCUGUCACUUUCUUGCCCUCUCUCUUGCCGGCGAGGUCGUUCCGUUGAUAGAUGGGUGCUGCGGGUUUGGUGCGGCGUGGGUGGGUGGUGUGCAGCAAGGACGUGAGGAACCCUCUCGGAGAGAGAGAUUGCUUACCUACUAGGUAAACGGUGUGAUGAUCCUUUGAUAUAGACCUUGCUCCGCCGGAGUAAAUUCGACAGAUGCCAAGCUGGCGGCGGGCAUUGAGUCGAAGUCCACCGGCAUGCUCCUGAAGUGGAGCUGGAUCGGAUUGGCGAGGAAGUCCUUCAUGCUCUUGGGGAAAACAAUGUCGGGGCGGGAUGCCAUCGAGCUCGCUAGGGAGGAUCUUACAAUCAUCCCUACCUAGCGCGCCAACUGUUGGAUUUAUAAGCCCGGUAGUCCACCAGGGGGUUACCCAAGUAGUUGAUUUGUAGGUGAGGGCAAUUGCAAAAUCAAGAACUCGAAGGUGAUCGCGAAAACACGAAGGGACACGAAGGUUUUAGAUAGGUUCGGGCCUCCGGAGAGUAAUACCCUAUGUCCUGUAUGCUGAUUUGUAUUGCUUGAGAUUGAUAUGAUUGUUGGGAUACCCUCGGGGGUGCCCUUGGCCGCUUUAUAUAGGCUGACGACCAAGAGUUACAAGUCGGUUUGAAUCUAAUCUACUCGGUAGUUACAUGGAAAGUAAUAUGAGUCAGACUACAAUACGCGUUCCAUGAUAUCCAGGCAGAUUUGAAUUGUCUUGUUGCUUUGACGUGCACUCCAAGUAACUUCAUGUCCUCGACCCGCACGCCUUGGUCGGGUCGGCCCUACUUGUCAGGUCUGACCAGUAUCUUGAGGUACCCAUAUCUCUCACCUUGGUGCUCCGGCGAUUAGGGUCAGUGGCGAGGAUGGGGAUUGGAAGAGGAGAUCGAGGGGACUUUAUGGAGAUGCUCACCGGCGACGAGGCGGACGGAUUCUGGCCAGUAUUUGGCUGGCGGUGGAAGAACACGACAGCUGGCUCAAGUCUUCGUGAGUGAUGGUACUCCGGCGGUGGAGCGACGACGACGACUGGUGGCAGAGCUGCUCCUCGAUGUCACGGAGCUCCCUAAGGCUCUAGCUUGCUCCGAUGGUCGACGAGCACAGCGAAUCGGCCAGAGAAGGACGGCAGUGGCUCCUAGCUCUGGCGGAUGUGGGGGAUGGCAGUGCUCGUGCAAGCUAGGAAGAGUGGCGGUGUGAGGCAGGGCAAUAGCAGGGGCACAAUCUCGACUUUUAUAUGUGCGUGGGUCCGCGCCUGCCUUGGCACGCAUGCCGAGGUUCGGCGGUGGCGAUGCCCAAGUGCAGCUACGCUUGGCCUCGACCCGCUGUUGGUCGAUGGGCCUAGCGGGCCUAGCCGAGCCAUCAACUGGGCCGGGUCAGUGCAGGUUAGUUGGAGAGGGUCGGGCCCCAAAGACUUGGCCCCAUCGAUUAGGAUUUUUCUUUUUUUCAGAAAUGAUUUCUCGUGAAAGAAAAAUCCAGAAAAAUUCUAGAUAAUUAAUUUAAACAAUGAAAAAACUCUAAAAAUCCAAAAAUUUCAGGAAAAAUCAUCUCUAGUUUGGGACAUGAGGAGUCCAAAUAAAAUACUUGGACCUCGUGAAAAGGAUUCUAGAACCUUCCAAAAAUUGGAUUUAGCUUUAGAAAAAAAUGAGAAUAAAUCUUAGAAAAAUCUGAAAAUUCUCAUAAGAACCUAAUCAGCAUCUAAACGCAUUCCAAAACCUUUGCACUUAUGAAAUACCAAGAUGCAUUGGUGUGAAUGCAACCCAUACACAAUCAUUAUAUUUAAUUCAGAAAAACACUCAAUUGUUUUCCUAUACUAAAUUUCCUCUUAAGAAAAUAAAUGUUGGAAAAAUUUUAAAAUUGUGAAAAAAUUAUUGUUUAAUUAUUCUUUUUAAUCAAAUCCUGAAAUUUCAAAAAUUUUAAGGUGAGGCAGAUACCCUCAGGUUUACAGAAUUUGACAUCCAUGUGCAAAUUGGAUCUAUCCUUCCAUGAUCUACAAGGUGAAGUGCCAAAAGUUUUUUUUUGGCAAAUGCAACUUACAUGUCGAUUUAUGGAAAUGAUCAGCUUUGUGGUGGAAAUACCUCAACUUCAUUUAACUCCAUGCUCCAUGUCCAGUGCAAAAAAGAAAAAAAAGGAAAUUUGUCGAAAACCCUUGUGAUCACCCUAACAUCAAUCGGUGCAGUUGUAUUCUCAGUUUCAGUACUUACUGUAAUUGUGUUGAUCUGUAAGAAGCUUAGGAAAAGGCACGAAAGUCAACUCAUAUCCACAACUGAGGAACGGUAUGAAAGAGUUUCUUAUCAUGCUUUGUCAAAUGGGACCAAUGGAUUUUCAGAGGACAAUUUACUUGGACAAGGAAGCUAUGGCAUGGUUUAUAAAUGUACUUUACAUGACCAGGGCACUACAGUAGGCUACUGUAAAGGUGUUUAACACACAACAAUCUGGGACUUCUAGAAGUUUUGUCGCUGAAUGCGAGGCACUCAGAAGGGUGCGUCCUCGUUGUCUCGUAAAGAUCAUCACUUGUUGCUCAAGCAUCAAUCACCAGGGUCAAGAGUUCAAGGCACUAGUUUUUGAGCUCAUGCCAAAUGGUAGCCUAAAUGGUUGGCUUCACCCAGAGUCUGACACACUUACCCAGACAAAUACCCUUAGCCUUGAACAAAGGCUACACAUUGCUGUCGAUAUCCUGGAUGCUUUGGACUAUCUUCAUAAUCACUGUCAGCCAUCAAUCAUUCAUUGCGAUCUCAAGCCAAGCAACAUCUUUCUUGCGGAGGACGUGAGUGAGUGCCCGAGUUGGAGGUUUUGGCAUACGAAGAAUCCUUCCAGAAAGUGCUAGUAAAACCCUGCAAAAUUCGAAUAGCACAACUGGAAUAAGAGGCACCAUUGGUUAUGUUGCACCAGGUAAUGAAAGAGAUAUUUUUGGUAUUUGUAAAAUGUUCUUAGUUCUUACGUAUACAUGACCUGCUGACCUUUGGAUUUUUUCCCCAAUCAGAGUACGGUGAAGGUUCUUCUGUCUCAACUCAAGGUGAUGUUUAUAGCCUCGGCAUAUUGCUGCUUGAGAUGUUUACUGGAAGGAACCCAACAGAUGAGAUAUUCAAUGAUUCUUUGGAUUUGCACAAGUUUUCAGAGAAUGCUCUUCCAGAGAGAAUAUGGGAUAUAGUUGAUCCGACAAUACGGAUGCACACAGAUGCCUAUAACAGCACUAUAAGAAGUGGAAUUAAGAAUUGCUUGGUUUAUGUUGUUUCUCUUGGAAUAUCAUGCUCGGAGAAACAACCUAGGGAGCGGAUCCCGAUUCUGGAUGCAGCCAUUGAGAUGCACGCUAUUAGAGAUUCGUAUCUCAAGUUUGCCAGAUCUCUUUUGGUGGAGCAUGGAGUAGUAGCAACAACUCACAGUGAUUUUCCACAACAGUGAAUACAUAGGACUGAAAAUGCGCAAGAUGUCUGCAGAUGAUCAGUUUACCUGAAAUAACUGAAGAUGUAUGAAGCUUCAGCUUUAUAAUUUGUCCAUGCAUUUGUUUGCAUCAGAUAUAUGGAAGUAUAAAAUAAGUUUAGAAAAUGUUUCAAAAUAGAUUAGAUCCAGAGGUUUUAGUUGUCGUUUGUAUGACACAUUUUUGUAGAGAAUUCAGUAAUAUGUAUGAUUCAUAAUACAAUCAAUGCUCUGCAAAUUUCAGAUAGCACAAUUGGAAUAAAAAGCUCAUUCCUUGAUUAUGUUUCUCUAGGUAACUCAACUUAUUGUGAUGUUCACUGUAGAUUUCUCCAUGGUCCAAACGACCUUUGUGAUCAGUUAUGUUUAUGCAUUUUGUAGAAUUGUAAAGUCUUUCCCUAACCUGCUGACAUAUUAGCCGGAGCAUAGCACUUUGCCGUUCUGUACCACUCGCCUCUAGGAGGCGCUUGCCGCUUGGUGGCUGCCGUGGCGACCGACGGCAUCCGUACCUGCUCUGUCGGAGAUGGGUGGAGCUGCUCUGCUCUGCCGGUACGAGCUCACUCGCGCCGUGAAUGGCGCGCGCCUCUAAGGUCUCAUCAGCUGCAGGUGCAGAUGGGUGGAGAGCUUAGCGGCGCUAGGUCUUCAGAAGAUGGGGCUUUGCAGCUCUGAAUGGUGAGGCGGGCAGGGACGACGGAGCUGGACGCGUGGGGAGGAGACGAUGGGCAUUUCUGAUAAUAGUUGGAUCGCGAUCCAAAUUAGGGGGCUAUUUACAAAUAAUAGGGGGUAUUCCGUAAAUAUUCGGAUCGCGAUCAUUAAUCGCGAUCCAAAUGAGGGGUUAAUUGAAAUUAUGAUGGGGUGUCUUUUGAAAUUCCGGAUCGCGAUCCCAUCCUCCGCCGCGGCUCGCCGGAGCGCCGCCAGACGCCGGCCAUCCCUUGGGGUACCUCUUCUUCCUUCCGCUUGUCGGAGCCCUAAGACGUGGUCGGUGUUUGAUCUGACAAGGAACCUUGAAGUCCGGACUAACUGAAGAAGACAGACAUGAUGCUGACCUGGAAGACGACGGCCUCGCCAUGGCUGGAUGCGGCGCGGUGGAAGGACAGUGUGGUGGAGGGCGUGGUCCACCACAUUCCGUCGACGGGCGGCGCACUUGCUGUCGCCUGUCGGCUACUUCCAGGCCGUAGCUGAGCUUCAGAGUUCAGACAGGGUGCUUGUGCUUGCAACAAGUUCAGAACGAUGUCAUUAAUUUGAUGCAGAGGAUGGAGCAAACCGGUUGCAAAUUGGAUUCUGAUACAUAUAACUUAAUAUUGAACCUUUAUGUCGAUUGGAAAUAUGAGAAGGGGUGCACCAAAUAUGGGAUGAGAUGGAGAGGAGUGGAUCAGGCCCAGAUCAACGAUCAUUUACUAUUAUGGUUCAUGGUCUUCAUUCCCAAGGAAAGCUUGAUGAGGCUCAACAAUGAAGUCAAGAGGGUUGAUCCCUGAACCAAGGACCAAGAUACUGGUGAAAGCUAUACAUAUGAAGAAAGAUGGGGCUGUCACAGAAGAUCAGUCUGCAAAUAUGACAGGGAAGAAUCUAAAACUGGAUCCACGAUCUAGACUAUUCCAUGUUCAUAAAUAGUUUGCUGUCAGAUCUUACUUCUAUAACCUGAACAGAGGAUUGCUGGGCACGUAUUAUGUGUCAAAAGAAUAUCUUCUACCAGUGUCCAGAUCACAAUGGCCACACCUUGGGCUACAAUAAAUCAUCAGCAAAGUGUAUUGGCAUUAUGUAUCCCAGAAAGUUUUGCUCAGACUUUCAAUGCCAGGGUAUGCUUUUUAUGUCUGAUACGGAUCAAUUGCCAGUACUGUAUUACACCGCUCGUAUUAUGAAGGUUAUGUGAAAUAUGACAGAUGUUUGUUUAUUCAUCUGUUAUGCAUGGCUGUGUCUACUGUCUAGUUCUUGGCUUGUUGCCAACAUAUGCAGCAGCAGGUAGCUUCAGCCGCUCAGAAGCCCAAAUGAAGGAUGGCCCAGGCAGAAUAGCUAUGUCUAGACCCAGAAAGCUUAGGACAUGUCUUGCCAGCCUGCAGUUUUGUACUCGUAGCACCAACCAUCUCCGGGUUCUGGCCGGUUAUAUACAUGAUCUGGAAUGGGCAUCCGCUGAUCGAUUGAAACCUUGAGUUGCUUCCGUGUGUCUUUUGCCAUCUAUAUAUUAUGGUUAGUCAACGGCAUGCAGUACACCCAUGCAUAUGAUUGCAGUAGGAUGACAUGGCGCGACCAGAACCCUUCUUUUGCCAGUUUUAGAUUCUUAUACACGGCCAACUGACGCAGCAGGGAGUGGCAUGCUAAGCAGUUCAGCGUAGGUGGUGUGUUCUUAACUCUGAUAUGGCUUAUGGAAGAACACUGUCACGGUGUCACUGUCCAACCUCUUACUAGGGACAGCAAUGGCCCUGUCCACUGUUUCGUGGCUGGUAUUAUUACCCCUAUGCAGUGAAUCUGACAUGUGGAUCUAUGUGUAUAUUAUGUCGUCAAAAGAACAUUAUUUGAACUCUAUUUGUGGCGCCACCUUUGAUUCUAUUAAUGUGUCAUGGUCAAUUGAUGUCAAACUCUAUUAUCUUCAAGUCUUAUUGUAUUGAUAAAAUCACGAUGCUGCUACUGCCAUUUUGAUGUUUAUAAAAGGGUAUUGAGAACCUGGUGGGUAUCCAUUCGAUGCGCAGGGGUGGGGGUGGGGAAAAAUGAGUGUAAAGGAUAGGGAUACAGUAUUUAGAAAGAUGGGGCUGCCACAGAAGAUAGUCUCCAAGUAUGGCAGGGAAGAAUCUAAAAACUGAUUCCUUGAUCAAGACUGUCCCAUAUUCAUAAAUAGUUCACUGACAGAUCUUGCUUGCAUAUUCUGAACAGCUGAUGCUGGGCACAUAGGAGGUUAACCGGUCAGCGGAUCGAAGGAAAAAAAAAUCUUGCCUGUCAGUGUCCACAAUGGCCUCAUCUUGGGUUAGAGACAAUCAUCCCUAAAGAAUCAUAUUGCCGGAUAAGGUUAUCUGUGAUUGGUGGGUGCAGAUCCAUGCUCAUCCUAGAAACAAGCCAGGGCUAAAUGCGCCACUCAUUUUAGAUGCUUGGAUGUUGUGGUCACACCGAAAUGAUCGUGUGUUUAAUGGAGUUUCCCAUAGUGACUAGCGUGCAGGCUGUCCUCGUAUUCGAGAAAAAAAAAAUCAAUGGGCGAAAUAUUUUCACCCAGGUAAUUGUUGCAUUGUAUGAAUAGGUUAGAGUAUGAAUGUGCGUGUACUGUGACACAAGAAGAUUUAUCAUAUCCAUAUAUGAAUUAGUGUUAAAUUUGCUACAUAAAUAUCUUCUCUUAUCUCAUUGUAUGUGUAUAUAUGACACAGAAGCACAUGUAUAUCGGCAUUGUAGAGAGAGAGAUGAGAGAGAGAAGCUUAUCUGCUUUUUGGAGAUAAAUAUUCAAAUUACUGGUGUAUGAGAGGGAUAUAAUUAUUCUAUUAAAUUGUUUAUUCAACAUCUAAAAAGAUUCCAAUGUUUAGUCAUCUAUAUAGGCAUUGUAGAGAGAGAGACUAGUGUUCAGCUGGUUGGAAGGAUGAGAGAGAGGAGAGAGUUCAGAUGAGAAAGAGACUAGUGUUUAGCUGGUUGGAAGGAUGAGAGAGAGAGAUAGAGUAGAGUUUGGAUGAUAGAGAGAUUAGUGUUCACCUGGUUGGAAGGAUGAGAGGGAGAUGAGAGAGUUCAGAUGAGGAGGUGGAGAGUUUGGAAGAGAGAGAGAGAGGUGAGAGUUUGGAUGAGAGAGAAAGCAGCUAAGAAGGAUGAGAGAGAGAAAGCGGUAUUCAGCUGGAUGGUGGAGACUUCAUAUAUUACUUAGCGUUGCUACGGCGAAACGACGUUGCUUAGCGCGCGAUGUUUUUAUCGUGUCGUGUAGCGCACCACAUUUUUUAUCGUGUUGUGUAACUUUUUUAUUUUAGUAGUAUUAGACUUUUCAUACAUAAGGGGCCACGUGAGUGUGUCCAUAUCCCAACCGUGCGGAGACCGCUUGUCAUUGAAUUUGUUAUCUCUUGCUCUAUCUUGUGAUUGGUAGGCUUCUACAGCAAUUCUGCACAAAGAAGGCCCCACUUCGCCCCACUCCUGACGUCCGGUUAUUCCCACGCCUGCCCUCUCCCUCUCCAAUCCUCACCGCCAGCUCCUCAGGGUCUAGGUCGGCCCGUGAUGUAGUGGCCUAUUAUCCUUCCACCGUUGGAAGCGAGCAGUGAUCGCUGCUCUGUGAACCUAGCCUCAAGCUGUUCCUACCACUUCAGGUCCAGUGAUGCCCGAGCUUUCGCUUGGCCCGAACAGGCCACUACCAACUUGGAACGGGCAAGGCCAGCAAGGGCACAGAAUAGACCCAAGCCCAGAGUCCGCGCCCAACCAUCCACACCACCUUAAUGCCCCCACUUGGGUUACAAGCCCGCGCAACCAAGCUCGGUGAGGAUGGCUCGUGAGGACGAACAUUUAAGCUGGUGCGUUGCUGCUUCAGAUGGCGAGGUGAUACUAAUAUAACGAAUAGGAAAAUUUCACGUGGGUCCCAUGCCGCACCCACCCCUAUCCUUAUCCUUUCUCAUCUCUCUACUGUCUGUCCGGUCCUUAUCCUCCUCAUCUCAUCUCUCUCUCUCAAUCCCUCUCUCUCAAACUCUCUAUCUCUCCUAUCCCCUCUUUCUCUGGAGAACGCGGUGCACGGCCAGCCCCAGCGGCGGCCUGGAGGCGCGAGGUGCCGCCGGCGGCCGAGGGUUGCGGGGCUGCGGCAAGGAGCCUCCUGGCUGUGGAUGCGACGGCCUAGCCACGGGUGCCGGGCCGCGUCACACCGCGCGCUGCUGCCGUCGAGCGGGCCGCACGCACUGCCCACACACCAGGCGGCGUGGGCGGCCAGGCUGAGCGGCGCGGCCGGGGCUGGGGAGGCGACUCUGGUGCGGCCGAGGUAGCUUGGGCACGGCCGGCUGUGGUGGGUAGGGAGAGGUGGACGGCGGCACAACGGCAGCGCGGAGAGGCGGACGUCAGGCACGAACGGGUGAAAGGGGAGACUGGGAAAGAAAGCUGGACCCACCUAUCAAUGCAGCCGGGGCCGGGGCAGCGCGGGCGGCUGAGGCCGAGGCCAGGCGGCGCGGUCGGGGCCAGGGAGGCGGCUCUGGUGCAGCCAGCCGUGGCUGGCAGGGAGAGGCGGACAACAGCGCAACGGCGGCAUGGAGAGGUGGACGUCAGGCACGGGUGGGUGAAAGGGGAGACGGGGAAAGAAAGCUAGACCCACCUGUCAAUGCGUUAAUCUUACCUAUUAUUAAACAUCAGGGCCACCUCUCAUUGAUAGAAGUUGGACCAAACCAAAAAAAAGUGGGCAGAAGUGUUCCUCACUUUAAUAGUAACAAUAAAGUAUAGAUAAUGCAUCCAAACAACAUUUGGAAUUUAAUUCUAAGAAAAACAAAAUAUGAUUCAUGGAAUGAGUUUCAACUCUAGGAAUCCAAACAGGCCUUAGUUAUUUCUUAUGUAGCUCAAAUCAGAUGCAAGGUACGUCCUAACUUAAAAAACGUAAGUUACUUUGUGUUAUCUUGUGAAUCAGUGAUUAAUUACUUCCAAUCUUAUGUAAAAAGAACUACGAGUUAAAUUCUUUGUCAGAUUUAUACUGACAAGUUACAAGCACAUACCUCUGCAGUAACAGGCGAGCCCUAGACUAGUGGGCAAACCAAAAACAACAUGAUUCGUCAACUGAUCGAAUGCUAAUGACUAUUUUGCUAGGAGAAUGAACAUGAUUCAUGAAAAAAAGGGAGCUACUAACUUGGUCAAGGUCUCCGUCCUCUAGCGUGGGGAAGGGGCCAUCUUGCUCCACGCCACGUCUGCGUGGUUGCUCGGCGGGCGCGACGGCGUCGGCUGCGGAGUGCGGACGGCGCGUAGAUAUGUCAUUGUUGAUCAGGACAUGCACUGCUAUCACCGUCUGUUAUUGGUCAAGGUCUCCGUCCUCUAGCGUGGGGAAGGGGCCAUCUUGCUCCACUCCACGUCUGCGUGGUUGCUCGGCAGGCGCGACGGCGUUGGCUGCGGAGUGCGGACGACGCGUAGAUAUGUCAUUGUUGAUCAGGACAUGCACUUCUAUCACCGUCUGUGGUUGGCGUCCGCGGCCGAGCGGGUCAAGGUCUCCGUCCUCUAGCGUGGGGAAACAGGAUCUCUUCAAUCAGUGCUUCUACAGAAACGGUGCACGGUCACCACGGACCAACGACAUACCAUGAGAAAAGCAGAGCGAAAUGUUGCAGUAGCAGAGUGACCGGAGACUGGAGAGCACUUGCUGCUAAAAGCUGCCUCUUAUUUUGUAUCGUCUUAACAGAAGACUUUAAGUCAACCGCCAUUCGAUUCCAAUAUAAACUAGCAAGUUGGCCCGCGAUAAUACUGCGGCUAGAUUUGAUACAGUAUAAUUUUUUUAAAUACUAUGUUAGCUUAGUAUAUUUCUUUGUCCCUCUUGAUUUGUUUUUCAUCCUCUUGAAAUCACUGAGUAUAGUUAGGUGCCUUACUCUACACAUUGAGUAUCAAGCCAUAUGUGUAUAUUUGUUUUUUUGCAAAUGAACUCCGAUGCCACAUGUGCAUAUGCACGCCUAAUUAAAAUUGCUCACUUGUAACAAAAUAAGAACAACUUGAGUAGUUGAUUCUGAUCUUAUGUUGAAGUUUUUGCCAACUUUUCCUAGUAUUGUUGUGUUGAGUAGAAAGCCUGUGUAGAGAAAGAUACAAAACAAACGAUCGUGUCAACUACUCCCCAUGCUUGCUCAAAUGAUUUUGAAAAAAAAAAACAACCGCGCUCUAAGUCCUAGGGCGGUGAUAUUCCUCCUUACUUUCCUCCUCUUGUUUUCCAUGCACAAUCGAGGAUGACAAAUACCACAAACCACUUAGGCUCGAUCAUGUUUCAUCAUCACAUUCCUCAAAUCUUGAUCACGUUGUUGUCUUCAUUAUGCUAGCAGUACACAUCUCUCCGCCUCUUCUAUUCCACAAAACCAUAAUUGUUCACCGGCUCCAGCAUUGUUGUUGCUCUCCACCAAUCGAGGAAGCUCUUGUCCUUGACAUCACCUUAUCCACUGACCAGCUGAAGUUAUCUGUACAUCCAAAGGUCUCAUAAGAUUUUUGCUGGAUUUGCAUUAAUAUUAAUAUUGCCACCAAUCUAGUCUCAACCUCGCCUUGUGUUCUCCGUGGUCAUUUUUUAUUCUAACUUGCAAGCUCCACAACUACAUAUGAUGGUUCUUCUAUAUACAUAAUAUAUCGCAUCUUCUAAGACAUAUAUCGCGGGCCGGCGGCGCGCGGGGGAGCGGCGCCGGUGGAGCGGAGGCGACCGGUGGUGGGCGGAAGCGGGUGGGCGCGAGCGCGGGUGGAGGCGGAAGAGCGUGCAGGCGGAGGCGGAUGGGUGGAGGCGUGCAGCGGCGGCGGGCGCGGGCGUGUGGCAGCAAGGCCGGCGGCGCGGGGAGGCGGAGACCGGUGGCGGCCAGCCGGCGAGCGUGGGGAUUCUUUUUAUUUUUUUCGAAAUUUUUUAGUCCCGAUUAGUGGUUGGUAACCCAACCGGGACUAAAGGGGACCUUUAAUUCCGGGUGGAUGACCCGGGACUAAAAAUCUCCUCUUUUGUCAAGCCAUCACUAUUGUCCAUAUCACAACGCCUGUGCCUUCUCUUGUUGUCCUCCCCCUUCCCUCUACCUUGCACCUUCUGUUUUCCUGAUCCUAUUGCCAGUUUGUUGCAGCCAUUUAUGGGCACCUCUUUCAUCCAUUGUCCACUGUUGUUGCCCGCUGCUUCAGUUCUUCUCUGACCAAAGCGGUCGUAUCGCGCUGGCCGGUAGGAAGCCAUCAUCUCGCAAAAGCGUCAUCGUCGUCGCCAAACCACAUCUAGCCGAUGCCGAACCAUACUUGCCAUCUUCUUUGCCAAUUUGCCGCUAUGGAAGCCUCCAUGCAUCGCUCAUCAAGUCUAUCCUAUCUCUAUCAGCUCCUGUGGUAUCCUGUUUUGUUUUUGCCUCAACCACGAAGCCAUAGGUUGCUGGUGCUAAAUUGCAGGGCUAGCAACAGGUAUUUCCUCUCCCUGGCCUUGCGGCCAUGCUAUGUAUUUUUCUCUUUAAAAAAAUUACAAUGAUUUAAUCCUAAUGUUCCGAUCAUGUGUGAUUGGUUUAUUAAUUAAAGUUAGAGUUAUACUUGAGUAUAUUAUAUAAAAAUAAUAUAUAUAUAUAUAUAUAUAUAUAUAUAUAUAUAUAUAAGUUACCAUACAAAGUACAACUUCCUACAAGGUGGAGAGGUUCGGAUGGAAUUUUGAUUCAACUUACUCUAUUCUAGAUAUUAGAGUUGUACUAGCAAAAUAUGCUAGUAUGUUGCUACGGUAAAAGAUCAAUUGUGUUUUUCAAAUUAAUAAUAUUUUUUAUUUUCAUAACUAAAUUUUUAUUCCACUUAUUGGAUGUCCACACAUUUAAUAGAAAACUAAAAGAAUUUUUUAUUCAAGCAAGAUAGUUAAAUCAGCCUCCGAUGGCCACCGACGGGGGCUCUUUAGGACUCCUUUAGCCCCGGUUGUAAAGCUAGUGGUCCUCGGGAUUCUGGUGAGGCGUUUUGUCCCGGUUGUAACUACCAACCGAGACUAAAGGGGGGGCCUUUAGUCCCGAUCAGUGUUUCCAACACAGACAAAAUGCUCCUCACCUCCACAUACACAAUGCGCGUGCCCCAAUUUCUCUCCUCCCUCCCCUUAAUUCCAGCGGCCAGGCCUCCUCUCCUUAAUUCCAACACCCACAUGCCUCCUCUCCUCCUCCCUUCACCCCCUACCUCCUCUCCUCCCUCUCUCUCUCUCCUCCGCCGGAUCCGGCCGGCCCCCACUCCCUCUCCCCAAGCUCCUCCCUCUCCCUCGGCCGAGGCGGGUGGCGCAGCCGGGGCCAGGGCGGCGUGGGUGGCCAGGGUCGGGGCCAGGGAGGAUGAUAGGUGGUUAUGAGGAUGAUACCUGCAGAUAAUACUUUUAAUCUCAAUUCUUACAGAAGAAUUGCACUAUGAACUACGCUUUCAUUUAUACCACACCGCUCAGCUAUAAAAAAUGGUGCAAAUCGACCAAAAUAAAUGAAUAAAUCACAUGGUUUAGACUGGUGGCAUAUGUAUGUUUGAUGAGUUUUGAAUCCCAACAGACCUCUGUUUGCUUAUCCAACCGGAGGAAAAACCUUUACUUACUAAAUCAGCUUUGCAUGCCAGGCUGCAAUUGUUAGAGCAGAAUUAGGUAAUUUGUGAACAUAAUUGAAUCAAAGUUUUGUCUCUGACAAGUAAUAGAAAAUGGUAAUGCUCCAUAGCAAGAACACGUUCCUACACUAGUUUAAAAAAUUCCCUGAAAUUGGGAACAAUGGUCAAGUCCAAACCAUACUUGCAACUUGGAGGACCGCUGGCCGAUGUAAGUCAAAGUCAAAAACAGAAGGAGACAGCGACGUCUCACCAGAUCACGAAUCAGAUGCGAUGCAUGUGCAUGUUCAGCAAGACAUUGAAAAGCAAGCUCUUCAAUACGCUCCAGCCCAGCUCCACCAUGGCUUUGGCAAUGCGCGUCAUGAGCUUGCUUCCUGCCACCAUCGCCGUGAUGAUCGCAGUGGCCUCUUGGGGAGCGCACGGCGGUGCCAGCGACGAGGCCAGCGCGCUGCUUGCUUUCAAGGCUCAGCUCGCCGGCAGCGGUUCCGGCAUGCUUGCAUCCUGGAAUGGCACCGCUGGCGUCUGCGGCUGGGAGGGCGUGGCGUGCACCGGCGGCCAGGUAGUGGCACUGAGCCUGCCCUCCUAUGGGCUCGCCGGAGCCCUCUCCCCGGCCAUUGGGAACCUCACUUUCCUGCGGACCCUGAACCUGAGUUCCAACUGGUUCCAGGGGGAGGUCCCAGCAAGCAUCGGCCGCCUAGCGAGUCUGCAGACGCUUGAUCUGAGCUACAAUACGUUCUCUGGUACGCUUCCUUCCAACCUCAGUGCCUGUGUCAG